rnacentral:lncRNA from 1 species
UUGGUGAUUUGAUCGACAAUUUGCAUGGAUAAGAGGAGUGAGGACUUGAGUGUUAGAAGUUUGUCCAUUCUUAAUAGGCUCUUCUUGGUAAAUGGUGCUAGAAAUUUGCAACUGAGAAUGACUCCCUUUGUAAGCAGGUGAUUAUAGGGAAGUAUAGGAAGGAAGAGAGGGGAUAGUGCUCUAGGAGAGUGAGGGAAGAGUAUGAGCCAUGGUAGGGUUUCAAAAGACACUUAGGAGUGAGUAGGAGGUGUUUAACAAUAGAACUGGAUUUAGAGUGGGAAACAGUCAGAGGGUGAAAUUUUAAAAGGAUAGGUGGUGGAGUAACAAACCUUUGGAAGAGGCCUUUCUUGCUUUGUUCUCAAUAGCCACCGUCAAAGAUGUAUGGGUAGCCAUGGUGUGGGAGUAGGAAGGAAAGGGAGGAUGUUAGAACCCCAGGUUCACAGGAUAGAUUCAUGAAUGGGAUCUACAUGAGGUGGAGGCCUUUUUUUGGAGAUGACAAGCAUAUACAAUUAGUAGGGAUACAAGAGAUAAAAUGAUUUGGCUGAAUUGAAAUAUGGUAAAUUCACAAUUAAAUCUCUAUGUUCCUCUUGAUUAAAUGGAAGAAGGGAGGCAUUCCCCGCUUGCAUUGUUUGAAAUCCGUGGGUUCUGGUGAGGAUCAGCCUUUUUUGCUUGGGCAGUUAUGUGGGCAAAAGUAUCAACAUUGGAUUAGCUCAAAAGGAGGGGUUUGAGGAUGCCAAACAAAUGCUAUCUAUGUAAAGGAGAAGAGAAGCGGUUGAUCACAUCCUCCUUCAUUGCUCCAAAGCAGUCAUGUUUUGCCAACUAAUUUGUGCUCUUUUUGGAGUACAGUUGUGAUUGCUCUCCUUAAUUAAAGAUGUCCUUUCGAGUUGGGAAGGAUCUUUUGUUGGGAAGAAGAGGAAGAAAGCUUGGAGAGUGGUUCCUUUGUUCUUAUUUUGCCUUUGGACUACAUGCAUAGGAGAGUGUUUGAAAAUUCCAAAAGAAAUGAACUUAUCAAAAAAAAAAAAAAAUUCCAAAAGAAAGGAUAAAGAAAGGAUCAAGCAAUCAAACACCAUUUACUGAAAGAACAAAGAGCAGCUCCUUUGUUCUUAUAAUUAUCUCUAGGAAUAGCAAUGCCUGUAAUAUCAUUAAUCACGUCCAUGCGAAGAAUGUUGGAGCAUGAUUCAACUUUCCAAGAAAGAAUAUGUCAAUCUGUGAAGUAUUAGAAGGGAUACUUCAUAUAUAUAUCAUCUAGAAACUUGCUUUAGCAAAUCAAUUAAUAUUUUGAAGAUUAUUAUCAUCUAAAAAUAUGCCAAGGGGUUUCUUAUAAACCCAAGAUCAAUUCAAAAGAACACAUGACUACCAUUUCCCAUGAAUCAUUCCAAUGAAUUUCCUCUGAUAUAAAAGAUGGAACAUAUUUAAAAUAAAAAUAAAAAUAAAAAGUGGCAGACUGCAUUUACCUGUACAACUAUUAGCAUUUGAGAGGAAUUCUUUUCUCAUGUUGAAUGAGAAGAAAGGAACAUGCUAAAUGAUUAUGCUGCAUUAGUUGGUUAAUGUGUCAACGCUUGUAUAGCUGGCCUCCAUGCUGCUGUGUUCUUUUGUUGAGGAUGUUUAUUGUAUAUAUGGUUAAACCUGAUUUGUAACAGAGCAGAGGUUGUCUUGGAUGCUGUACCAAACCCACACCAAUUAUUGCUGUGGACGAGCCAUCAAAGGGAUUGAGAAUUCAAGGGCGGACAGUGAAGAAACCCAGUAUAUCAGAAGAUUUUUGGAGCACCAGCACAUGCGAGAUAGAUAACAGCACUGUCCAAUCUCAAAGAAGCAUAUCAUCUAUCAGCACCUCAAACCAGUCCCUUACUCACUAUAGUGGCAUUGGUAGCACGAGCAAUAAUUCUGAAUUUAUAAAUCAUGGCAAGUUAAUUAUUUUAUUUUAUCAUCAUUUGAUGGAUUGCUAAUCAAAUAUGGUUUUCAUGUGUCCAGCUGCUGACACUCCUUUUGCUUGCAGGUCUUCUUCUCUGGAAUCAGACAAGGCUUCAGUGGGUUGGAAAUAAAAGGUCUGAGAAUCAGAGUCAACAAAUUCGGGAGCCCAGAUUAAGGUGGGUACCUUGCUUUUUUCCUUUGUUAACCGAUUCAUAUUGUGAAAGCAGUCAUCCGGUAGUUUUGUGGAUGCAGAGCCAAAUGCUUCUACUUCUCAUCCACUAAAUUAAAAUAAUCACCAUUAUCCUUUUCUGCUUUGGAAAAUGCAUCUGUCAUUCAUUCAUUUCUAGCAAUAUAAUGAACUCUUGAUAUUCAAUACUUAUAUUACAUAUGUAAUCCAUAAUCUACUGUAAUCACUUCUGGUAAUUGUUUCAAGAGUUUCUUAAAGGAGCUUGGGGCAUAAGUCAUUUAAGUGGAUUUUUCUAGCUAUAUCUUUCUCCAGUGGUUAAACCAGUGUGUCUUUACAGAUGGAAUGCAACUUAUGAAGGUUUACUUGGAACCAACAGGCGUUUCUCCCAGCCCAUCCCUCUCUCUGUAAGUCUUCUGUGCUGUAAGGUGGUCUUAAAUCAAUCUCCCAGUAACCCCCACCGUGGCUAACUGCUUCGAUCUUUGACUGACAGGAAAUGAUAGAUUUUCUGGUGGACGUAUGGGAGCAGGAGGGGAUGUAUGAUUGACAAAGGGAAUUCCAGGAAAUGUUUUGGUUUCUUCAUAUAUCAGGAACCCCCGUCUUUAUAAAUUGUAACUUUAUAAAAAGCUUUGAUAUAUCGCUGAAGAGAGAAAAAGGUUGAAAAAAAUCAAGGGAUUCUUUGUCGGUUAUCAUUUCAAAUGUUAAUAUCCAUCCAAUCUUUUUCUCUCUCGCGUACUCAUGCCUGUUGAAUAUUGCCUACUGGACUCAAUGGUAUCAGCCACUUAAUAUGCAUUUAGUCCUUGGAAAAUAGACAUGAUAACCAAGCUUGGUGGUUUCCAGAUUGACCUGACCUCUACCUGUAUAGUUUUGAUUACUACUGAUUAACAGUUGAGGGAACUUGUUAUUCAUCUUAAGAGUAUUCUCAAUGACACAAUGGUAUCAUGCGUGAUAUAAUGCCACCAAGAAGCACUGUACAUGCUGUUUAAUGAAAUAUCUGUAAGAGGAUUGCCACUGAGACAAGGAAGUCAUGGUAAAUGGGCAUUUUGUUGUUUCCUCAUCACAAUCUGUAGCACUGGAGGGUCAAAAUAUUUUUACCUUAAGAUUUACAUAUCUGUGGCAGGAUCUAUAGAAGGCCUGGUCAUAAUUAUAAGUCUUGUGGUGCCUGUCGGCAAAAAAUAAUGUACUUGGCCAGAAUGUUCAUAACUGUCCACUACUUAUUGUUUAAUUUGCUUGGAAUUUAGGAACUAUGGUCUCAUUUCACCUUGCCUCACCAAAAGCCAUGCUGCACAAGCUCACAAGAGAAAAAGGCUGAAGCCAUCAGUAACAUACAAAUUCACAUGAGAGUAUUAUUUAUCAGAAAAAUGAUUUUUUUUUUGGAAGCCCUAAAAAUUCCUUCCAGUAAAGGACAUGGGUGUUGGGUGGUUUUUAAUUUUAAAAAAACAUGUUGGUCCAUAUGGUUUGUGGUGGUUGAAACAGAAGGAUACUUGGCCUUGGUUUUAUUGAAAUGGAUCUGCAUCUACGACUCUAGGGCACAUUCGAUGAUAUGGCAUGACAUGUUCAAUGGAUCAAGCCUUGAUCAAAUUUUGUGUUCCGAAACCCCUAUGAAGUCUUCCCCUAAUUUCCACACCUACUGCAGUAUGACCCCAGCCGAAUUUCUCUUCAUUGUGGUCCUCUUGAUUCAAUGAUACAUAGUGGGCGUUGUUUCUGAUUUUGAGACAUGACAUCUAUUUUCUUAAUUACGGGUGACGUGUACAGCCUUAGUUCCAGAAAUAACCCACUUCACAAACAUAAUUUAUGGAUUCAUCUAUAAAACCGAAUCAAUGUACAUUUUUGACUUUCAUUGUUUAUAACUUCAUACCUUAAUCCCAUUAGACGAUUUUAAGUCAUUUUAAAAUAAUAAUUUAAAAAACAUAUUUUAAUGACCAAAAUUGUUGAUUUAAAUAAGUAAAAAAAAAAGCUCGCAAAAACACCUCAAUUUUUGCCAUAAUUUUAUUAACAAAAAUUCACAUUUUCCGUGUUGGUUCAAAGACUACUACUUUCCAGCCCGCUGCCCGCCCCGCCGACAUACGGUACAAGAGCGACACUUGCGCUUGACAUCCCCAAACGCUGCCAAAAAUGAAAAAUGCAUUGACAAGAGAGGAGGUUGACAAUCCACCAUCUCCCACACGGCAGCUCAAACCAAAAAUGAAGAUGAUGACACUCUCCCAAUAAGAAAUCAAAAACAAAUGCCUAGGUGAAGCUUCCUCCAAGUGUCCCCUAACGAUACCACCAACAUCCCUCUUUCCUUUCAUAUUUAUCCACUUUCCUUCUCAUUUCUUCUGCUACAGCCUAAGCAAAUAUGCCUUGUACAUUCCUACCCUUGUUUUCACGUCUAAACAUCAUACCAACAUUUCACUCACACGAGAUAGACUUUUCUUUCUCGAAUCUACUUCGUUGCCAUCCAUGUCAAAUUCGAGAUACCCAAAAGAUUUUCACAAAUACUUUUUCCCCUGCCUUCCAAUUUUUAAUAUUGCAAGCCCCCCAACAACGGAAUCCGAAUUAUCAACGCAAAAAGUGGGUGCAAAAUCAGACAUUAAGCCACUAGGAGAUGUAAACCAUCAUAAUCUUUUCCGGACUGCGCGGCCAUGUGUGGAUGGAGGGAGGGGAUGAUACAAUAUUAAAACAUGGAGCAUAUUAGAAAAAUAGUAAGUCAUUGAAGAAUUGAAGACUGGGCCAAGCUACAAUGAAUCUGGGCGACUUAAUGCCCCAAAAUUCGACCAACCCAUUUGACCAAAUCAUGUGUUCCCCACUUUUCCAUCAAUUUUAUUUAUUUUUUCAAUUUUUGGAUUUUCUAUGUGGAUAUGAUUAGCAUGGCUCCCUCUUUCCAAAAAGCAGAACCAGUUAAAAACUUUGGAUCAACAGAUAAAUGCUUUUCGGCAGAUCAAAUGUGAAACCGUGUGGAAUUUCAACCACACGUCUAAUGAUUUAAAGGAUUAGAAUCUUAUGAUUAAAAAAAAUGCCACGCUUAUUUCAUGUAAGAUUUAUAGUUUAUUGUGAAUUGGAUUUGAUUCGAUUGGAUUAAUUAUUUUAUUAAUAAAUUUUGGAAGAAAUUUCAAAUUUCAAAAAUUUUGUGUUAAAUAGUAAUCUCUCUUAUAUAUUUUUUUUCAUCAUAUAAAUUUUUUAUUAAGUAUUUAUUUCAUAAUUAUUGAAAUAGUUUCUUUAAACCCACUUAAUCAGUGGUGUCUAGUAGUGAUCCUGACUUGAAGAUGAGUUGAUAAUCAUUUGUCUUGUCGUUUAUAAGUUGAUACUGUUGUUGAAAAUAAAUCGAUAAAGUCAAUCCACAUGAAUUUUACAUCAAAUAAUACUUAUACAAUUCUUCUUUUAAGUCAUGCGUUAUAUUUGUGAUCUCAAGAAUCUUUAAGGAUGGCCAUUUAUCUUUUUUGGUGAUAUGAUAAAUUGUCGUUAUUAUAAACAAAAAACUGAGGUAUUGAAGAUAUAUUAUUGAACUUUCAAUCCCUACUAUUGAAAAAGAAGAAAAAAAAUUAAAUAAUUAGAUAAAAUGGAAUCAAACCUAAAUUUUCACAUACAUGUGAUUGAUUGUACUUUUUAAUAGGUACGUCUUUGUUCUUAAAGUAAGACCCUAUUAUGAGACAUCUAUUUGACCAAGCAUCUUGGCCGGUUCAUUUUUGUAAUUUUUUUUAUGCCAGUUUUAAAUUUUCAUACUUUUUUAGAAUUAGUAGGUUUAUAUAAUUAAUGUUUUUAUUAUCAAAUAAUAAUAAUAAAAAGGAUUGUUAGGGGUUUACAAUGACUUUUAAAGAUUCAAAGUUAUCAUUAGUUUUGAAUUAGGAUCAUUGAAGUAUAUAUAUAAUAUAUAAUUAAGAAUUUAUAGGUGAAUAAUGACAAUAAAAGGUGUAUAUUAAUUUUUACUUUGGUGUGUAAAAAUUAUUGAUAAAAAAAUUUUAAAAAAAAAUCAAAAUUUAUUGAGGAUUACUUAAAGAUCCAUUACAAUAGCUCAAGUGCUCAACAAGUUUCUUUAUUUUUCAUGAUUUUUAUUUCAUGUGUAUCAUAUGCACUCAUUAGUGUUUUCCUCGUACAAAUAUGUUUUAUAGUAUUAAAAAAAUGUAUGAAAAAUGUUAUUGCUAUUAUUCUCUUGCACAUUUACGAUAUUCUUAAGGGUCCAAUUGGUAUUUAAGGUUGAGUCAUGACGAUCAAUCCUAAUCCAUCGAGUCAUUGAGGAGUUCAUUAAGAAGUAUGAAGUGCUAUGUUAUGAAUCCAAAGACAUGUAUAUGUACGGAUUCGGAUGAGAUUCUUGUAAGAAGGUAACUUAUGGUUUAAGUUAAUUUAUGAACUUGUUCUUAUUGAAUUAUCGAUUAGAUUUGACUAAGUCUAAAUUUAUGUAAAUUGAGCUUAAAAUUUGAAAUUAUUAAUUCACCCUUUCGGCUAAGUUUCAAAAAAUUUAAAACUCAUCCUUAUUUUUAAUAAAAAUCAUUUUUAAGAUAUAUAAUUAAAAAAAAUCAUAUAAUAAAAAAACAAUAUAUAACAAUAAUUGUUUUUGUUUUUACCUACUCCACAAAACUAAAUACAGUGAAUGCCAUGGAGGGAGUCACCAUUAUCAUUUAAAGAAAUGAUUGAAAUGAAAGCACAGCUGAUGAUGGAGAGGGACCAUCAUAUGAAAUGAAUGAAUCAGCACCCCCCGCCCUUAAAAUAAUGUAAGACCACAAAUACAAGUGGCCUGGAAAAUGAGGCAGAACACAAGUUUGAAUCUUGAAGCGAAGAUCCAAUGAUUCUAGCCAUUAGGCAACCCCCACGGCUCUGCCUCUCUGUCCAGACCCAGUACCCCCUACCCACUUUUUCUGACUCACUCAUAGUUCUUUUUUUAUUUCUGAAUUCUGUCCAUACCAAACACUCCCUUAGGCCCCACAUCUCAUCCCCUGCCAACUCAUUGGAUACAAAUCUCAAUUUCUCCCUGCUUACCCAAAAAUUCCAUGCAUGCACCUCUAAAUCUUUUAAACCCUAAAAAUUUAGAUCACCUUACUUUUCCAACAAGCCAUAUACCCUUAUCCCCAUAUCGCCAAAAUCUUUGAAAAUGGCAAUAUUUUUUUUGCUCUUUUGUAAGGAUGUGAUCUCUCCUUUUGGGUUCUAGUUUACCUAACCUAUUACUUCUUUGUCAUUAGGUCGCCAUUGUUGUUUUGAUUAAUAUUUUUGUGAGGAGAGUGGGAACAGUCACGUGUAUUUGGACAUGAAAUCUUUGCUUAAGAGAUUUUGUAGAGUUUGGUGCACCCACUGAAUGAUCUAUCCUUCUCAAUGCAUGUAACAAUCUUAUACAUUUCAUUAAUAUCAUCAUCAAUCUUUUCUUUGCUAUUCCUAUCUGGUAUUACCUUCAUCUACUAUCUACCUUGUGGCCCUUACAUGGUUACGUGUGAAAUGGGGAUUUUGGGUUGAAUCUCUUCCACAACCUCCUUCAAAAGGUUAAAUGGCUAUGUUAAAAGUUAUAAAAAUAUUAAAUUUAAGACUUAAUUAAAAAUAAAUAAAAUUAAGCAAAUAUAAAAGCUCUUAAUAAGCUUAAAAAAUGGUUAAGAUUUGAUAUUAUUAGAAGGAAAAUUCAAAAUUGCAGACUCUUUUCAUCAUUUAGUUUAAGAAGAAAAAUUUUCAAAAUUAUAAAACUCUUCCUAUAUAUCAUCUAAUUUAGCAGGAAAAAUGAUCAAAUAUCUGUCAAAUAUAUAUUUUUAUAUUUUCCAAUACAACCAUUACAUAAAAAAUUCAUAUUCUUUUUAGGUAGGAUGACAAACCCCACUACCCCAGCCUAACGAGGGACGCCAUCCGUACAGCAUCUCAGAGACCUUGAACUACCUAAAGUACCAAUGUGCAGGUUGCAAAUAGAAAAGCAACUAGUGGAUUGCAUUACUGUUUCUAAGCUAUGGUUGGCUGUAGCGGCUCAGCCUCAGCAUGUGAUUAGAGAAAAAGAAAUGCCCAUUUGCCUAUAUUCUUGCCCCUCGUCCUCACUUUCCAAGCUGUUUUUCUCAUCAUGCCUAUCCUAAUUCCUAAUCCACCCCCCUACAACAACUUGCACAGAAAGGGCACACCAAAGCAUAUGGUUUAUGGAUAUGGUUUUGGGUUUUUGACUACAUGCAUCCAACCCUUUUCCUCUUUCCCCCACAACUUAAAAAAGGGUGCACCAAUCAUAUUCCCAUCUUUAGUGAGCCAAAUUUUAUUAAUUAGCUUCUCAUCUAGCGUGGGGUUUAGCUUUUGACCCAAGUGGGCUUUCUAAUGCAUGUCAGAAUUCUAAGUUUUUAGAGUAGGUUUUAGCUUUUGAACCAAGUGGGUUCUUUAAUAUAUGUCAAAAUUCAAAGUUUUUGGAGUGGGUUUAAGUUUUUGAACCAAGUGGGUCAUUUUAAAAUAUGUCAAAAUCCCAAGUUUUUAGAUAUUUUUGUGUGGAGAAUAUAAAAUAGAAGAGAACACUUAAGACUUAAAAGUGGGAAAUAUGUGAAAAAUAGAUGUGUAGUGUGAAUAAGUGUGGGGUCAAGUGGAUGGAAAGAGGUUAAAAAUAGUAAUUUCAAGUGGGUGCAUUGGGGGGAGUUGUAUCGUUGAUGGUGGACAUGGGUAAUGGGUCAUCCAAGUGGGCAUUUUUGUUGUUUCUAUGGAAACUGAUGUUACCCACAAUUCCCCAUUGCCUUUAUUAAUGCCCUCUGCUGCCUCGCUGUCUCAACUCCUAGGAUGUUUUUAAACCACUUGUUGGCGUUUUAUAUGCCCAACUUCCCAACUUGCAACUUAUAAAUUAAAGGGGAUGCUACAUUCUAAAAGUAUAUACUUGCACCAUCUAUUGAAAGGUAUCACUCAUCAGCUUAAGGGUGCACUUUGAAUGAGUUGGAAUCAUCUGAAUAUGUUAGGGUUAACGUGGGUUGAAUACUUGAAUCUUUCAACAGCCCACUAAAACCCGAACCCGCAUAUUAUUCUUUUUAAAUUAUAAAGGAAGAAUAAAUUCUAACAUUUCUCAUUUUUUAAUUAUUUUAUGCUCUGAUUUAUUACUUUUUAAUUAUCAUAAACUAAUAUGUUAUCAUUUUUGUCUAAUUGCCCGAAUAAUUUAAGAGUUAAAAAUCAAAGUUUGUAGGUUGUUAUUGUUGUUAAAUCAAUAACUAGCGAACAUAUUUUAAAGUUACCAGACAUUUAAUCUUUCACCUUUUAUUUUAUAAUAUAAUUUAUAUGAUUUACACUUUACAACAAGUACUUUACUUAAUAAUUUACAAGAACUUGUCGGAGCUCGAAUUAUGCAUGAGCUUGACGUGGGUUGAACAUAUUAACAGUGGGUCUAACACUGAGUCCCGCCUAAUUUAUAGUCCUAAUGAGGCGAUAUCACAUAUACAAUUUUAACAUAUGUACCAUAUAUAAGAUUUAAUUACUUUGCCUCUAUAGUUAUCACAUUAUACUUUGAUCUCAUUUAUUUCAAUGAUCGAGAUUCAAGGAAAUACAUUAUCAUACAACCUAAUAAAAAGGAAAAAAUCAAAAGGAAAAUUAGUACCAUUAUUAUUCUCAUGCUAUAUGAGUGAUCAAACCAUCUAAAUUUGCAUUCAAUCAUGUGUCAAAUUUUUAAACCUUUGAAUAUGAAUGCAUAUUAUUAUUAUUCUCAUCCUAAAUGAGUGAUCAAACCAUCUAAAUUUGCAUUCAAUCAUGUGUCAAAUUUCCAAAUUUUUAAAUAUGAAUGCAUAUCAUUAUUAUUUCCAUGCUAAAUAUGAAUACAUAUUAUUAUUAUUCUCAUGCUGAAUGAGUGAUCGAACCUUCUAAAUUUACAUUCAAUCAUGUGUCAAAUUUCCAAACCUUUAAAUAUGAGUGCAUAUCAUUAUUAUUCUCAUGCUAAAUGAGUGAUCAAACCAUCUAAAUUUGCAUUCAACCAUAUGUCAAAUUUCCAAACCUUUAAAUAUUAAUGCAUAUCAUUAUUAUUCUCAUGCUAAAUGGGUGAUCAAACCAUCUAAAUUUGCAUCAAACAACCAUGUGUUUAAUUUCCAAACCUUUAAAUAUGAAUGCAUAUCAUUAUUAUUUCCAUGUUGAAUGAGUGAUCAAACCUUCUAAAUUUGCAUUCAACCAUGUGUCAAAUUUCCAAACCUUUAAAUAUGAAUGUAUAUCAUUAUUAUUCUCAUGCUAAAUGAGUGAUCAAACUAUCUAAAUUUGCAUUCAAACAUGUGUCAAAUUUCCAAACCUUUAAAUAUGAAUGUAUAUCAUUAUUAUUAUCAUGUUGAAUGAGUGAUCAAACCAUCUAAAUUUGCAUUCAACCAUGUGUCAAAUUUCCAAACAUUUAAAUAUGAAUGCAUAUCAUUAUUAUUUACAUGCUAAAUAUGAAUGCAUAUCAUUAUUUUUCCUAUGAUGAAUGAGUAAUCAAGCCUUCUAAAUUUGCAUUCAACCAUGUGUCAAAUUUUCAAACCUUUAAAAAUGAAUGCAUAUCAUUAUUAUUCCUAUGUUGAAUGAGUGAUCAAACUAUCUAAAUUUGCAUUCAACCAUGUGUCAAAUUUCCAAACCUUUAAAUAUGAAUACAUAUCAUUAUUAUUCUCAUGCUAAAUAAGUGAUCAAACCAUCUAAAUUUGCAUUCAACCAUGUAUCAAAUUUCCAAACCUUUAAAUAUGGAUGUAUAUCAUUAUUAUUCCGAUACUGAAUGAGUGAUCAAACCAUCUAAAUUUGCAUUAAACCAUGUGUCAAAUUUCCAAACCUUUAAAUAUGGAUGUAUAUUAUUAUUAUUCCGAUACUAAAUGAGUGAUCAAACCAUCUAAAUUUACAUUAAACCAUGUGUCAAAUUUCCAAACCUUUAAAUAUGAAUGCAUAUCAUUAUUAUUCCAAUGCCAAAUGAGUGAUCAAACCAUCUAAAUUUGCAUUCAACAGUGUAUCAAAUUUCCAAACUUUUAAAUAUGAAUCAUAUCAUUAUUAUUUCCAUGCUAAAUGAGUGAUCAAACCUUCUAAAUUUGCAUUCAACCAUGUGUCAAAUUUCUAAAUUUUUAAAUAUGAAUGCAUAUCAUUAUUAUUCUCAUGCUAAAUGAGUGAUCAAACCAUCUAAAUUUGCAUUUCAUCAUGUGUCAAAUUUUUUAACCUUUAAAUAUGAAUGCAUAGCAAUUGUAAUUAAAUUUUAAUUGUGUUUGGAAGCAAAUUACUUGAUAGAUUCCAUACUAAAAGUUGCACUAAAGAAUCUUAAGAAGGAUGCCACUAUUAAUUUUAUAAAUGAAUUUAAUAUAACUUUAAGGAUGGCUUGAGAAAAAACAAACACUGAAGAACAACCGCCCAUGGGACAGACAAUGCUUGCUUCUCUUAUUAAACUAACCGUCCUGGCAGGCUACCACCAUCAAAAUGUCCAUUCUAAGUCAUUACUUGUUUUGCUUGACAGCAUAGGAGUAUGGAAAAACCAAGUAGGAUCCAUUUUGACAGUCAUAAGGAAAUAAAAUAUUCAAAGAUAAAUAAAUAAAGUUGAAAGGCCCAGAAAAGUUUGAAAUAAAAAAUAAAAACCCAAGGUGGAGAUCCAUUGAUUCUAACCAAAAAAAGGAGAGAGAGAGAGAGAGAGGGAGAGAGGGAGAGAGGUUUUGAAUGGAAUGGACCCACAAAGGGUAUGAUCCAUUGUACAUCCAACGAGAAGUAUGUCUAAGAGAAGAGUACCAAAGAGGGGCCUCGUGUGAAAUAUGAAUGUACCGCCAUUUCUCAUGCCUCCCUCCCUUCCCUCCCCCCUCCCUAGUCACUAUCCCUAUCUCCCACUUCAUAUUUGUUUUUUACUUUUCAUACCAAUUCCAUGUUCACCAAGUCAAUUCUCUCUUUCUCACAGUCUCAUGCCUCAUCAGGCAACAUAUGCUUGACUCAUGUUCAUGCCCCUUAAGCUCUUCCCACUUGACUUCAAUUGUCAAGUUGUAUGCCAACCAAACACCAAAAAACAAAAUUCUUCACGAAGAGAAACUCAAAUAUUACAUUUGAGGUUUUUUACGCAUUCACAACGAUUUCACAAAGUCAUCCCAAUCCUUUUUUAAAAAAGAAUUUGGAGAAAAAGAAUAAAAGAAGAGUGAUUUAUAACAAAAUAUGUUGUUUAGAUGUUUUAAAGUAUGAUGAAUAAAUAUAGCAAAAUAUGCACCGGAUAUAUUUUAGCCUAUUCAUGUUUGAUUUUUAUAAAAACUAAAAAUUGAAAAAAAAAAAAAUAUUAUAAAAAUUAUAUUAUAUUCUAAUAUUUACUAAAAAUAUAAAAAUAUAUAUUUUUUAUUUAAUGUUAUUUGAAAUUAUUCUAUAACAUACCAUUUGCUAAAUUAUUAUUAUUUUAUUUCUUUAUUAAUAAUGUUUACAAUUAAAACGUUUAAAAAUAAAAAUAAAAUUAUUAUAUUAUAGUGUUAAAUAUAUAGAAAAAUUCAUGUGUAUAUAAAUUAUUAUAUUAAAGAAUAUUAUUUUAUGUUGUAUUUUACACAUUUUUGUAAUUAUUUUCUUUUUCAAACCACAAUAUUAAAUUUUUAAUUAACAUUUUUUUAUUCUAUAAAGCGAGUAAUAUAAAAAAAUUUAAAAUAAAUUGAAGAAAAUGACUAAAAAACAAAUUUAUGAUCCAGUAAAAUAUGUUUAUAUAUAUAUUCCUCAAAUAAAAUAAUUAAAUAUUGUAUUACACCACUUAUAUUUACUUAAAUAUAAAAAAAAUAAAUACUUCAUUCUAUAUUUAUCUUCUCGUAAUCAAAAUACGGGUUUAGAUUUAUAUAUAUAUAUAUAUUUUGUAUGAAUCUCAAUUUUACCACCUUUGGUUGAUUCUAGAAUUAGCUUGACUAAAAUGAGUGGGUAUGUUCAUGUACUCAAUUUAGCUAUCAAGUAGUCAUAAUUGACUUUAAUGGACCGAUUAAAUGCACCAAAUUUAAUAAGAGCAAGACUUGGGUUUUUAGAUGUUUACCAUUCAAACUUGAUGUAUCAUAAAAUAACGGACUUUUCAAAUUUAUUUGUCACAUCUCUUCUUAAUAAGAAUAAAGAUUUUUCCCUUUUUCUAAAAUUUUGGUUCAAAAAUUGUUCCUAUUCCUUAUGUCCAUGAGAUUAACUAUUAAAACGUGCAAUUCAUGUUGUAAACUUUCUUUUUAACUUGGAAAAAUACUAAUCCUAAUGAUUGCAAGAAAAGAAAGUUCCAACAAGUUUCUAUCUGAUUAUAAAAACUUUUUAGCCACCUUAAUCAUCUUUUUGAGAUGUAAUUAAUAUUCCAUGAAGAUUCUUUUGAAAGGGAUGAGAAAUGGGAAUAGAAGAAAUCUAGUCAUAAACCUCAAUUUUUAUUACUUAAAAAUGUAAGUGAAGGGAAAGUAAUCUAAGUUUGAUUCCCAAGGGGUAAGAAAUGCCUAACUUCAAGGCAGCUGCUCCACCCCCACCCCCACCCAGCUAAUUCCAACUAAUCAAACAUUAACUAAAGCUUCUACUUGCACCACUUGCUUUCCUAAUCCCAAUCAAAAUCCUAAAUCGAUUUUAGUUCGUAAUGUUUUUCGAAAUUAUUAUCAUUUUUGUGGAUUCUCGAAAUUCAAAAAUUUGUUAAAUAUUUAAUUUAAAAAAGAAAAUAUUUCUUAGUAUUAUAAAAUGUAUCGGAUUCUCUCAAAAUCACUAUUAAAUAAAUAUCUUUAUGUUUAUGAAAAAUAUUAUUGAAUUUUUGUACUCCAAAUAUUAUAAAAAAAAAAAGGGCAAAAAACGGGGUGGGGCGGUAAGUGGUAAGCGGUAAGCGGUAUUGGGGAGGGGAGGUGGUUGGGGAAGAGGAAUAACGGGAAAAAGCGGUUUUAGGGAUGGAUUCAUUGCAUUUGAAAUGGCAAUGACACCUCAUGCCCCCAAUAUAUACUCUUCUCUUUCCUUGGCUUCUCUCAUCAUCUUCCCACAUUCUCUGUAUUCUUCUUCCUCUCUCUUUUUUUGCCCUAAUUCUUUGGGGUUUCAGAUGUUCUUGAUCCUCUCUUCGCCUACUCAACAACCGCUUCUUCACUGCUUCUCCAACGCUGCGUUUUUCUUCUUCUUCUUCUUCUGCUUCUUCUUGGUGUUCGUGUUGGCUCUUCAGUCAUGCCUAUGUCUACCCUCGUCAAUUACAGUGGUACGCUUUCUUAUCUUUCUGGGUUUUUCUUUUUUUCUGUUUGGGUGCAUGAAAACUGAGGAAAAACAAAUGAAAACCAGAAAAGUAGAUGUGUUCUAGCGAUUUCUCUGCAAGCAAACGGUUUUUUUUUGUUCUUGUAAUUGUUUAGCUCUGAGGCUAUGCUUGUUGAUUGGGUUGUUUAUAGUUUAUAGCUUUUUGUUCUUGAUGUUGUAGAUUUAAGUUUGGUUUCUGGGGCAUGGCUGGUUGUGAUAUCUAUAGAUCAAUUUAUGAUUGGGAUCUAUGAAGAUGCUUUUGUUAGAUUUGUGUCAACAUGCAUGAUAAAAUUAUGAAAUCGCCGGGCACUUGUGGAUCCUUGUGCGCGGUUUAGAUCUUGGAGAGAAGGAAGAAAAGGGAAGGGAGGAAAAGGAAAUUUUAUGAAAAUACCUUCAGGAAGUAAUCUCCUUUUCCUCCUUUUUCUCCAAGAUCUAAACAGGUUGUCAAAUAAUUUUCUUCUCAUUGAGAAAUUUUUUUUCCUAGGAUUGAUUCUAUCAAAGGAAACAUAACCUAUAUUUUACUGAAUUUUGGUAGGCCUCCUUCAUGAAAUUGUAUUAAUGAUAGGAGUCCCUGUGUGGGUAAUGAAAUGGUUUUCCACGGUUAUGGCUGAUUUCAGUAUUCAUUGGCUUUUCAGGGGACGAUGAUUUCUAUCCUGGGGGGUCAUUUUACAUAAAUCCCAUGGAUUCCGGCUUAUUGGUUUCAAUUGGCUCCUGUAUGGAUGUAUACUGCCCUCCUCGCAAGCGGUCUCGCAUUACUGCUCCAUAUAUCUUCAGGGAAAACAACCUUGAGCUGGAAAAGCGACCAUCCAUUGAUGUUCUUCCAGAUGAAUGCCUCUUUGAGAUCUUGAGACGCCUUCCUGGAGGCCAAGAGAGGAGCUCCUGCGCUCGGGUCUCCAAGCGGUGGCUUAUGCUCCUUAGCAGUAUCCGUAGGACUGAGAUCUGCCCAAGAAAGAGCUCUCAAUCUUUGAAUGAGUCCUCAAAGCUGGACAAGGAGUUAACCAUUCCCGUUCCUGAUGAUAUUGAAAUGAUCUCUGCUGAAGAUCGGGAACUUGGGAGUGAUGGGUACCUUACAAGAUGUUUGGAAGGGAAGAAGGCAACAGAUAUAAGCCUUGCUGCUAUUGCAGUUGGAACCAGUAGUCGAGGGGGAUUGGGAAAGCUUUCAAUCAGGGAGAGCAGUUCUUCUCGUGGAGUUACCAACCUUGGUCUUUCCAAAAUUGCCCAUGGUUGCCCUUCUCUAAGGGUUCUUUCUCUGUGGAAUGUCUCAGCUGUUGGGGAUGAAGGUCUAUUUGAGAUAGGUAACGGAUGCCACAUGUUAGAGAAGCUCGAUCUCUGUCAGUGUCCUUUGAUUUCCGACAAGGGUUUGAUUGCUAUUGCAAAGAAUUGCCCUAAUUUGACUGCUUUAACAAUUGAGUCUUGUGCAAACAUUGGGAAUGAGAGCUUGCAAGCUAUUGGAAGUCUCUGCCCCAAACUACAAUCCAUCUCUAUCAAAGACUGCCCUCUUGUUGGGGAUCAAGGAGUUGCUGGUCUGUUAUCAUCAGCGACUUCUAUCCUUUCCAGGGUAAAGCUUCAAUCCUUGAACAUCACAGAUUUCUCUCUUGCCGUAGUUGGGCACUAUGGCAAGGCUAUCACCAGUCUUACCCUCAGUGGUCUCCAAAAUGUGAGUGAGAAAGGCUUUUGGGUCAUGGGCAAUGCCAUGGGCCUCCAGACCCUGAUCUCUUUGACAAUUACUUCCUGCCGGGGUAUAACAGAUGUGAGUCUUGAAGCCAUGGGAAAGGGUUGUCCCAAUCUAAAACAGAUGUGUCUGCGGAAGUGUUGCUUUGUAUCUGACAAUGGGCUGAUUGCCUUUGCAAAAGCUGCAGGAUCUCUUGAGGGCCUGCAAUUGGAGGAGUGCAACAGGGUCACCCAGUUGGGGGUUAUUGGUUCCCUUUCAAAUUGUGGAUCUAAAUUAAAAUCUCUUUCACUGGUGAAAUGCAUGGGAAUCAAGGACAUAGCUGUGGGAACACCUAUGCUCUCUCCUUGCCACUCUCUUCGGUCCUUGUCCAUCCGAAACUGCCCAGGGUUUGGCAGCGCUAGCUUGGCAAUGGUGGGAAAGUUAUGCCCUCAAUUGCAUCAUGUUGAUCUGAGCGGACUUGAUGGAAUGACAGAUGCUGGGCUUCUCCCACUUCUUGAAAGCUGUGAGGCAGGACUUGCCAAGGUGAACCUUAGUGGCUGCUUGAAUUUGACAGAUGAGGUGGUUUUAGCCAUGGCUAGGCUGCAUGGUGAAACCCUCGAACUGCUGAAUCUUGAUGGGUGCAGGAAGAUUACUGAUGCAAGCUUGGUGGCGAUUGCAGAUAAUUGUCUAUUACUUAAUGAUCUCGAUUUAUCAAAGUGUGCAAUUACUGAUUCUGGCAUUGCUGCUCUGUCCUGUGGAGAGAAGCUCAAUUUGCAAAUCCUUUCAGUGUCAGGUUGUUCUAAGGUAUCAAACAAGAGCAUGCCUUCUUUAUGCAAAUUGGGCAAGACUCUGCUGGGCCUGAAUCUCCAACACUGCAAUAAAAUCAGCAGCAGCUCAGUCGAGCUGCUUAUGGAGAGCUUGUGGAGGUGUGAUAUCCUCUUCUAAGCAACAAAAAAUUGGCAAAUAUGAAGGUGUUCAACCAGAUCAGGAAUUUCAAGAACUUGCAGUUUGGAAAGAUAGUUGAAGCAUGAUGCUCGUACAGUCAGCUCACACGUAGCAAUGUAGUUUUUUGGCUCUCCGCUGUGGGCCUGCUGGUAGCUCAGUGGUUUGGUUGUUUUCCAGGGGACUUUGGCGGUUCACUUUUCCACCCUCUUUUUGCAGGUUUUCUAUCAUUGGAAAGCUUGUUACAACUGUUUGGCCUCCCAUUAACGGGAGGCCACCUCUUUCAUGGCCAUGGUUCCCUGAGAAUACAGUCACCAAGUCCUGGUUUUAGGUUACCACUAGUGUUUGGUCCUGGUUUUGUAUUGCUGGGUGUGCUAUACCUGGUGUUUUAGCUUUGUCACACAUUCCUUUGAUGGUGUGGCUGGACUAAGCUUUCUCUAUUUUCAGUCCUACAAUCUGUUUUCUGGGUCAGUCCAUAUUAGUUGCAAGUGUCCUUACGAGCCUUGUGUUUGCAACUCUUUCCAAGAGUUGAGAGUCCUUGUUUUUCCUUUUAUUUAAGUUCCUAGUUAAUGGUUGCUUUGGACAGUUCCUGGUGGGGGGGCUUGUUUUUACGGGCUUUGGCCGUGGCUACGUCAUUCAGCUUGCCACCACAACCCUGAUGGUUGUUUUUUUGUAACCAAGUCCUUAUCUGCGUAUGAAUUGUACUCUGCAACAACUUUGUUAUUAAGUAAAGGAUUGGGAUUUUGCCAUUUUUUAGUUCAUAAAUAUAUCUUUUCUGUUGAUCUAGUAUUCUGAGAACUUCCUAGCAUUAAAGAACAUGGUAUGAUAUGUAUAUAUUCAAAUUUACAGCAAGCUGCAUAUGGAUUUUUUCUUCAAAUGUCCUUUCUUUAAUUAGCUUUAAGACAGCUGAUAUGCAUUACUUUACUCAUCUAAAAGACCUCGGCCCUUCAAAUUCUUGCAAAACCGACCAAAUGACAUGAAAAAGGAGAUUUGAACUGUGGUGGGCAUAUAUGACAUAUUGGGCAUAUCUUGGAAGAAGAUUUCUGGAAUGAUUAAAAAUUUUACUGUGCCCAGCAUAUUUCAAUUCCUCUGCUACUAUUACUCAUAGAAGCUCUUGUUCUCAGCCUGGUCUGCUUAUGGAAGAGAAAGAAAUCAUUAGGAAAUAAAAUUUAAAGAUAAACAUUACAGGACUGAAUCGGCAUGGUUCCUUUCUUGAUCUGGAAAUCAAACACAGUGAAUAACACUGUAUGCUGGAAUCUAUUCAUUUUCCCUUGGUAAAGCUUUUAAGCAUGCCCAUCUUCCUGUUAGAAAUCCAGAAAUGAUAGAUGCUUCUCUCAUGAUUGCUUUUCCUCUGACAAUCACUGCAAAAGAAUUUGCUUCCUUUUUAAAUUUUUUGCCUUAGCCAGUAGCAUCCUACUGAAAAAGUAAUUGUGGUGGUGGUCACUUUGAUGACUGUUUAUUAUGUUCCCACUUCUCACUGAUGACCAUUUGUCCUAUAUAUUAGGUUGGGCACAUGGAAAGGUCCCUACCCUUUUUGUUCCCAACAUAGCACAGGGCACAGGGUGCCUUGAAUUUGGACCUCUCCCAUUUGAAGGCAUCUGGGAUGCCUUUGGUUGUCUUGUCAUUGAUAAAGAACAGGGAGUAAACAGUGAAACAAAUAGUGAAAGCAGUUCUCUGGAAUAAUAAAAUCAAACAUGGCUGCAAUUAGCAAUCAGAUUCAACUACUGAUAAAAUAUGUUAAUCAAUAAUGUGUGGCUAUAUCUAUCAAAGCCAUCUGUGUUGUACCUGCUUUUUGUUAAGCCAGUCAGGCUGCUGGCACUUGGACUUCCCCUAAAUCGAAAAAUAUCUAAAACAGGAUUGAACUCUACUCCUUUAGAUCUUACAUAAAAUCUCAAAGGAUCCUCUUGAGGGAAAAUUUGCUUAGCCGGUUCAUAUUACAAUAUUACAGCCUCUAAUGCCUGACACUGUUGUGCUUGGUCAUUUAGCUCGAGUCCCUUGAUUUGGUUUUUCAGUCACACCAUAAAGAUCUGGCCAAUAUCAUGCCCUUCUAGUGCAGGAAUCAUCUCUAGUUCGUAUUCCAACUUUUGUCUUGUUUUGAGUUUCUUCCUUCUUCUUUUUUUUUUUCUGGGGGCUUUUGUUUUUUUCCCCUUAUUUCAAGUCUAUAGAGGAGUUGAAACAGGACUGUCAGCGAAGUCUUCACCACAGGAUAUGCUACCCCAUACUCCAGUACAUAUCCUAGGGGAAGCAACCCAAUAUAGACAUUAGAGAGCAUGGAUCCAAACCUUUCAUAAAGGUGUUGCUUUUUUUAAGCCCCAAUUUUGGUUGAAUUAAAUUAAGCCCAGACUCGAACUUGGGUUUUGUCCAAGCCCAAGUCCCCAUGUUCAAAUAUGGUUCAUGUUCUGAUUUUCAGCUUGGUCACAAGUUUGUUAAAAAGGCUUUUUUAUCAGCCUAAUUUGCUAUAUUGUUCUGCAAAAUUUACUAAGAAGCUUGUUUAUAGGCUUGCCUACGGCUUCAUUUGAUUACUACAGAAAGAUAAGAAAUGAAAUUUUGAAACUUACUAACAAUCAUUUUGCUACACAUUGAAAGGUCAUGAACAAAGGUGUUAGUGUUACCAAUUCAAAAGGUAAAUAUCGAGUAGAUUGAUGUGCUUCAACGACAAAAACUGGUACAUUACAACACAAAGGCUUUCAAGAGAAUCAAUGAAGAGUUAAUGUUUCACAUUCUCUAUGUUGAGAUUUAUUUUACCAGUGACAUCUCAUCAACCUCCAUUAACAAUGUGGUCAACUGCUGAAAACCACGGCGCUUGAAAUUUGAAUUUGGGAUUGAUUUUAAGUAUUGUAUGUGUUUUGAAAUUUGUGCCUGAAAUGUGUUGAUUUGAAAAUUGGAACCAAGGGUAUGGACUAGGGAGACAACUGAGGAUGCCCUUGUGAUAGCUUGGCAGAGCUUCACUAUAGGCCUCUUUCUCUUCACUGUUUUCAAUUAUUAUCAACAAGAUGUCUUGAAGAAAUUGAUGAACUGGACCCCAUUAGUAUUGGUUCAUGGGGGCUGCCCAAGCUUAGGCUCCAAAGUUCCCUUUUUUGGGUAAUGAGAACAGUUAAUGUUUUUGAGAAUAGUUAACAAACACCCUUAGAUUCCUUCUUUUGAACAUAGGUAAUUCUAAUGAAAAGAAGGGGACAGUGGUACUCUUUUUUGGUAAGAAAAUUCAUUUGCUUUAAAUGCAGAGGCUAAGUAGGAAAGAUGAGAAAAUUUCAUUUGCCUAAUACAGAGGGUGGGUCCAAACGACUUCCAAUUAUUUGAAAAAGUGGCAGAUUAAAGGUGGUCUAAAGUCAGCUAGCCAAAGUUCAAACUGUAACUUCAGUCAUUCAUAACUGAAAACCUGAAGUCAGAGCAACAGUUUCCCAAAGAGACAUGGAAAAAUAUUAAGUUAAAACUCUGUUUGGGACCCCCCCAGAUGCAGUGAAUUGGUGAACAAGUGAGACCAUCAUAUGAUAGAUUUCUCUUACAGGCUUUACAGCUAAUGCAAUACCUUCUCUUUUCUUCACCCCCUUUUACAAACACCACCUUCUUAAUCUUUUAAAGGUCUUCAUAUUCUCCCUCCUCCCUCUCUCUCCUUUGUAUUCAAACAUACAGUCCGAUGGCUUCAUCAAGAAACUACCCAAAUGGGCUAAGCAUUGCGGCCAUCAUGCUGCUCAUCAUCUUGUCCCUCCCACUUCUUCCUUCCAGAUCAGGUGAAAAGAACCAGAACCUAUUUCAGUUCAAAUAAUUUACAGGCAGAGUAUACCACUACCAUAAAGACUGGAGAAAAGGGAAAUGCUUCUUUUAUAUUUCAUGGGAAGAUCUUGCUUUUGUUUCAUUUUUAAUUGUUUUUUUCUCUUUCCACUCUUUUGGCAGUUGGGUCAGAGUCUUCGGAAGAUGGUGAGAGUUUGAAGCAAAUGAAAAUGGUGCUGGGAUCAAGGCCCCCCAGGUGUGUCAACAGGUGCUUGAGUUGCACACCUUGCACAGCAGCUCUAGUCAUUCCUCCCCCCCAUAAAAAUGGGCUCGAGGCAUUCGCUCAGGAAGAUGAGAGCUAUUACCUCCUCUCUUGGAAAUGCAAAUGUGGAAACAAGUUAUUUCAACCUUGAAAACCAUUCAUACACCCUAAGCUGAGGAUAUUCCCAUGUACAUAAUGAGAUAAGAGGUAGCUAGUGUGCUGCAGAUAACUGUUGAGCUUCUUCAUGGUUUGGACUCACAAACUCUUCCAUGUUAACCAGCUCUCUCUUGUCUUGAAUUUUGAUUUAUCUGCUUUCAUCACUGAUUUGGCCCUCACUUAUCUCUUGCUUUCUUUUAUUUCUGUACGUAUAGAAUUACAAGAGAAAAGAUAAGUGAAGAUGGCAUGCUUUUGAAAAUGAAUUUUAUAGUCAAGAACUAGUUUACCCCUCAACUUAUUAAUCGCCUUUGAACUCAUUGGGCCAUUGAAUCAUAAGACUAUACUUAGCAUUCAUUUACAUCUGAAGUACUCAAGGGUGAAGCCAAGAACCUCAUAGUUAGGGUUAUGAACGUGACUUUCUUGUCAUUUUCCGCCCAGUCCACCUUGGUGACAAAGGGACUUCAGGGUGAUGUUUACUUCUUUAUUGAAUUUUGAAAAAGUUGAUAACACAGUGUCACAAUAACUAUUGAAGCUAUUUCAGCUCCAAGAAAGUGUAGGUUUUCCUCAUAGCAUAAUUCACGAAUCUGCAACAGUGAUUGACACGUUUACCAAACAUAUAGGACAGUAUGUCGGAAAUUUUCUUUCAGUACCUUUUUCUCUCUGUAUAUAUACUUCCAACUUCACUUGAAUGAAUUUAUUGUAACAUCAUAAAAAUGUUAAACCAUGGGAAGGAAAGACAGCAUGGUUGCGCAAACCCGAGAGCAACCAUACAAGCAGAAAAAUAUAGUUCGGAACCUGGAGGCCAGGCCAUGAAGAGUGUGUAGUCGCAAUAUAAGAGGAAUAGGCAACAGGAACACUAUGAUAUUUCACAGUUAUUCACUAAUAACUUAUACAAGUGAGCAUAUGUACCAUCUCAUCCACAACAUUCUUCACUACACUGAGAAUUAUGUGAUUUUCCGAUACAUACAACCUCUAACCAAACUAUUAAUGGUAACAUACCUACCAUCAUUGCUAGCCACAAGGCAAACUUAUAAAAUAUUUGGUGCACUCAAGAGUUUUACCAUAUAAUGACAUUGAAAUUUCAUAUCUCGAGAAAAAGACCGAGAUCUAUAAUCAACAAAACAUAUGUAGACUACACAGGAAGUCGCUUCUGGGAGCAGUAGCUUGUCCAAGCAUGUCCGCUUACUGAAUUGCAUCACACCCACAGAACUGGAUCAGCAAGUCAUUGUUCUUAGAAGACUGGAAUUUGUCAUAGCCUCUUUUGGUUUCCAGAUGAUAUGCUCAAGUUUAGCACAGAAAUUCUUGUAAAACUGAAAAUGGGAACCAUAGAGAGACGUUAGCUAUAGUUGCUAUUGCCAGACACCAAAAUGCAUACUUGGUUUCAAACAAAUACGGGGAUGCCUAGCCUGUGGACUCAGCUCUAGGAUCAGAGAUACUCAUGAAUUAUAGCCAAUUGUCGAAGUGAACAAUACUGACCACAGAAAGAAAAAUUUUUGGAAGAUGGCUAGAGGUAGAUAUGUUAGAAUAGGCAGUCAACAAAUAAGAAAUGGGCAUGGCUAGAGGUAAAUAUGUUAGAAUAGGCAGGCACCAAAUAAAAAAUGGGCUUUUCCUGAAAUGAGGAUGUUGAGAUGAAUCAGCAGUUUUCUAGAACAAGUCCAAGGCCCUUGGGCUCAGAAUUAUUCACCAAUUCAUUGAACUUUCCAGAGUUGAAUACUAUUGAUUGGCUAAUAAGUAAAGCUGAAUUGUGAGUAAAAUAAGACCUGCAUCCAAGCACUAUCCACUAGUGAAGAUUGAAUUUUCAGUUACCCCAUGAACCAUUAUAUCCAGAACCAUUAUUUUUUUGAACCUUCAUGGUCUACUCUGGUAGCUGUGCAUGUUCAAUUGGAGGCAAGCUCUGAAGCCAAAUGAAAGUUAACAAAAGUCAGUACAAGCAAACCUUGUGAUAUUCAAGUGUAUCCCCAGCAGCCUUUCUAACAUCCACCAUGAAAAGGGAUGGUGCAACUUCAAAAACCUAACAACAGAAAAAAUAAAGAUGGAACCUUUGUUAGAAACAAUCCUACACCAGAAAUCAGGCCUCUUUAUAAAGAACAACAGGAACAAUGUUGCAGGAAAAAUAUCUAGAAAGUUACCUCUAGGACAACUGCAAAUUGUGCAGUCUUAUUUGCAGAUAUUCCCUCGAGUCUUGUCUGAAUGGAAAUAAUAAUAGAAAGAAUUACAAAACAUAGACUUCGAAAGGAAGUAAAUGAAAAACAGAUUAGCAUACAUGUUCUUUUGUACAUGGGAUAGUUCUCUUGCACUAUCCAAGACAUAAUAAUGCAAUGAACAAUUACCAGCCUGACCCCCUAUAUUAGUUUCAUAUGUAGAGAAGAUUUGAUACCCAAAAACAAUUUAUAUGUAAGUGAAAAAUAGAAUAGGCGUACAUGCCCCUUUGUACUUUGGAUAUUUCUCUUGCACUAAUAGAAAACAACAUGAGAACUUAAAAUAACACAAACAAGAAGAAUAGCAAACUGAAAGACCAUAGUGCAAGGCAUGGGGCAAGAUGAAGCUAUUCCGACAGUUCAUAAUAAUGCCAAAAGGAAACAUGCAUGAAAAUGGACUUGAAAAGAUACAGAUGCAGUUUCAGAGCUGGUGCAGGAUUAGUGCGUAAAUUUCAUCAAAUUUGGAAUGCAAUACAGGCUCCUAGUUAAUAUUAAAACAUUUUUAUUGGCUGUUCUUAUAAUAUCAUCAAUUUCUCCUUUGUUGAAUUUAUUGAAUUCUACUGCAGUUCAAAUAAUUUAAAUGAAAUUAUCAAGUUGUUGAAAAUGGAGAACAUAUGCCAUCUUUAACCAAAUUCAAGAUGCACUAUCGUGAAAAGAACAAGUUAAUGUGACGAAGGUAAGUUUUAGGAGAUUACCUUGUAGUGGCGUGUAUGGACCUUGAAAUUCAUAGAUUCUGCCACAGCUUCAAUAGUAGAAAUUAUAACUUUUGCUGGUUCGCGGGAAACAAAACGAGUUUGCCGUUUUACAUAAUCCUGCCACCAGAUCCCAAAUAAUUAGAAUGCAUGAUAGCUAGACAAAGAAGAAUGUCAAUGGUUAAGGACUCCAUUAUCAAACAACAUACUAACUAGCCUACUUUAGUGUGUGAAAAAAGCAUUAGCAAAGGUGGAUAUCAUACACCAUUGUUCAGUUAAGCUUUUUGAAGCUACUACUAUCCACGAGACCAGUAUUUUUUUAAUCUUUUGGGAAAACAUAAAAGCAAGUGUUGCCAUAGUGUUGACGGUGGGGAGGUUAGCAUCUUGAAGCAAUAGCAGCGACACAGAGUGGUUAUGGUGGUGUGAACUGGUGGCAUUGAUAGAGAUCACAGUAAUGGGACUCCGUGGGAACGGGGGAUGAUGAGAGUGGUUGAGGUGAUGAAGCGUUUGUGUUGAAGAUGAUGUUUAUGGUUUCACCAUAGCAACUUCAAUAGUAUCUGCUGUGAUGUUGAUGGUGCUAAUGGCAUAGUAAUGACCAUAACAUAUCUAGGGUGGUUGUGGCCAAUGCUGUAAGAGCAAAGGUGGCAGCAUGGUGAUGACCAUAGUUGUCACCUGGUAAAACUUAUCGUGUAUCGUUUUCAUAUUUUUCUAUAUCGAGUAUCGUAAGUUUUUUUAUAUAGUGAAAAAUAAAUAGAAAAUAUAUGUAUGUGUGAAUAUCUAUUGAAAUUAUGGAUUAUAGAGUGAUAUAUAACCAAUUUUAUGGAAAAUAGUAAAAUCUAAAGAGUUAAACUAUAUCAUAUCAUAUGAAAACAUUAAAUAUUAAAGUUUUGACAGUUCAAAUUAACAAAAUAUAACUUUAAUAUAUAGAUUCAUCACAUAAUUCACAAGAAUAAACUUCUUCAAUUUUUAGUUAUGAUUUUUAGUUCCAAAUUCUAACUAGGCAUAUGUUAUUGUGUUGUUAUACAUACAUACAUACAUAUAUAUAUAUAUAUAUAUAAAAGGCAUCUUCAAAUUUCUAGCUUUUUAGGUUCAUCAUCAUUCAUUUUCCACUAAAAAAUAAAUUAAAAAAAACUAAUAUAUUAAUUAAAAAAUAUAUAUUCAUUAAUCACCAUUAUUUUCAUUAUCAACAUUCAAACCAUUUAAAUGAAAACUUCGAAUAUUCAUUGUAAAGAUAAACUUACUUUACUUCAAAUAUAGCAUUUGACAACAAAAAUAUAGCUUUUCAUAUAAGAUUAUUUUACUUAUUUUCCCUUUUUGUAAUCAAUUUUUAAUCUUUUAGUAUAUCUUAAACAAUUAACAUAAUAAAUUCUUUUAACAAAAUAAAUAAAUAAUUUUAUUUUUUAAAAAAAUUAUAGAAAAUAGUUGAUGAUGUAUGUAUUGUUGUAUCGUAAUAUCACGUAUUGUAUCAUGUAUCAUGUAUGUUUUGUAAGAUAUAUUUUAAAAUAAGAUACAAAUUGCGAUACGUAUUGAUUUCCAUAAAAAAUGUAUCUUAUCAUGUAUCAUAAGUUUUUAACAACUAUGUUGAUGACUCUAUAUGGAGGAAAACCAAAAUUUGUAAUAAUCACCUAACCAAAAUUUGUAAUGAUCACCUUUCUUCAAUAUCUUGCUUUUUGAUUCCAAAUGCAAGAACUGAUCUUCUAAUAUGCCAUCCAAACAGUGCCUAGAUUAACAUCACCAUUUGAAUAGAAGCCAUACUAGAGAUCAACAAAGUUCAUAUUUCUUUCGAUAAGUGACAUGGUUCACAUUAGGUCAAAAUGAUAAGCUUUUCCAUACUUCCAGCAUAACAAGGUAGAAAGAGCUCAGCGCUAUAACUUCUAAAUUAUUGAAAGCGUCAGUAGUAGCUAUAAUAACAAUCAAGUUUAUGGACUCCAUAACACACGCUCUGACACAUGAGUCACAAUCUUUGUCACUACUAUAAUAUGUAGCAUAUAAAAUAAUACAACACAAUUCAUCUAGUUGGAAUCACCAGUUACCUGAAAGCAUGCAAAAUUUGUGAAAACAUGAAAUUCCAACAUCCAGAUCUAGACAAUACAACAACCAAACCUUAACAUGAACACUUCCUAUCUCUUAGACUUUUAGCCUGACUUUUAAUGGGAUUCUUCAUAGCAAGAUAAAAAAUUCAAUUGCCUGUUUGAUUGCAUGGAUGGAUGAAAAGAAAAGUGAAUCUGGAGCAAAGAACAACAGUUUUGACCCAACUAGUAGGCUUCCGCAUUUUCAUGUAUUUUCUCCAUUGUCUAAGAAACCAAAAAACCAUAAAAGUUUAAACCCAGUUAUUAGAAGGAGCCCAAUGAAUUCGUAAUCUACUAUUUCUCCAACUUUCACUUUUUUUAAAACAAAAAAUAAGGAGUUUCAAGAUCAUGCUAAUUUUCCCCAUUUUUAUUUCCUUACUAUUUUUUCAUCACAACCAAACAAUAAGAAUUGAUAUUUCUUUGUUUUCCUUAUUUUUCCUUCUGCAAUCCAAACAGCACCCAGGGAAAAAAAAAGUUUAGGAAUAAAUAUUGAGAGAGCUUCACAUAGGAAAGCUCAAAAUUUACCCAGCAGUGAAAAUUGCUCGUGGAUUUCAUAAGCUCCAUGCUUUUCCCACCAAAAAGAGCAUAAGAGACAAGGAAGAUAAAGAAAGAAAGGCAAAAAGUCCUUGAUAUAUUUAUUUCUUACUUCAAGUUCUCAAAUGAUCAAAUAUAAUGCAUCAUAAUUGCUAUUCAUCAAAUAAAUUAAAAAAAAAAAUUAUAACUUCAACCCUAAGUGAAUUAUCAUAUUGCCUAAUUACUAAAAAAUCCAAAUUAUAAAUAAGUUGUUGAAAUUACUAAAAAUAAAUAAAAAUUUAAAAAUCACUAUUUAUUUAGUUUUUUUUUUUUUUUUUUUUUUUGGGGGGGGGGGGGGGUGUUGCGGGGGUGCACUUCUUGGGUUUGAAAUAAGAAAUCUAAAUGAUAGACAACCAUCAUAUAUCUUGAAGAGGCUCUUCCAAGAAGGUAGAAAUAGCGCAAAACAAAACAAAAAGGAAAAAGAAAAAAGGAAGGCAGAAAGUUAUGGUGCUGUAUUCUCAUUUAAAAAGAAAAAAUUAUGGUGCUUUGAAGCUGACCAUAAAAUGCUUGGCCAUGAAUCUCCACUACUUUUCCUGUUAGUACCAAACUAUUUCAUCUGCAAACCACCUGUUUUAUUAUACUCUCUGUGUUUUCAAUAAACACGUGUUUGGACAGCAAAGCUUUACCCAAGAUUAAGUAUGAAAUGCUAAAAGUAGCAACAGGUCAGCUGCUAAAGUAAAAUCAGCUCCAAACCAUCACUUAAAAAUAUAAAAAGAUUUGUGUUAAUCAAUGUAAAUAAGAAGAGACACAAUUGUAAAUAAAUUAAGUGCAGUCAAACUUGAAUCACGCUGGAAUAUAAAGAAAUAUAAUGGAGUGCAAAAAUCCUAAAAUAAUAUCACUGUACCUGUCGUCUGUCAAAAAGUGCUGAUAGAUUCAACCCUUGGGAUAGGGUAAUCAUCUCAAAUGCAUUCAUUAUCAAAGGACCUGUGUCAUUAUUUCCUGACUGCUCAGAUACGUAAUUUUCCUGCAAAACAACAAUUAUUAAGUAUAAUAAACCAAAUGAAACUUAGAUGAAUAUGGAUGUGCAGGGAAUUGAGUACCAGAAGAUCAUCAGUUCAGGUUUCAUAUAUUGAACUCCAAACUCACGGGAUGAUAAUUUCAAAAAUCAAAGUUUAAAAACCAUUGAACUCACAAAAUUAGCCUGAAAAAGUCUCUAGUUUGAUACCAAAUUUAUAAAAGUAAAAAAGGCUAACCUCAAUAUCAUCAAAAACCGCAUGAAUAUCAUCCAAAUUCACUUCUUCAUCUUCUCUACAUUUGCUAGACACGUAGUUCUUUCGAAACCAUGGAUCAUUUUUUAUCCCUUCAAUCCGAAUACGCUGCAUUAAUGUUGGAACCAAUUACAGAAAGUGGAGGAGAAGCAAAAAUAAAAAUGAUCAUAUUGUUUGCAAUUUAAAUGUUAUGUAAACUAAACAUUGUUGUGGUGGGGUCUUUGUGUUGUACCCUCGUACAUGUGUAGAGCUCAAUCACCCCAGAAGACUGACCACCAUAACUCAACUAGAUUUCAUUGGGAUUUCCUGACAUUGAUUGUUUUUAGGUAAGAUCUGAGACCAAAAGGGAGUGGGGGAGAGGAAGGAAUUUUUACAGACUCUGUCAUUUGGACUCUUUAAAGCUAUCUUUAUAAAAUCAUAAUCCUUAAACAUGCUAUUGAUCUGACUACCCAAGUGAAUUAGAAAAACUAUAACUAGACCUCCUAUUCUUUUCAUUCUCAUGCACAAUGUGACACUAUUACAACUAGAUUACUUAACAUAUAUAUGACAAUACCCGAGUUCAAUAUUUCACAAAAAAACAGUGGCAAUAUUCUUGAAAUAGAAGAUCAAUAUCUAGACCUCCUUAAGCCCAUUUGGGAUUGAUUAUAGACUCCUUAGAAUCACUUUUCUAAUAAUUUUUUCUCACUAAUGUGUUUAGUAAAGUCAAAGAAACAUUAUUCUCAAAGAAUCUCACCCACUUUGGUAGCUAUUUAAGAAGCAAGUCAAAGAUAGCUUGUCAAGAGUGAUUUUCCAAGAAAAGGAUAUCUUCUUGGAUGAUAUUUUAAAUUAUCCAAUACUUCAUCAAACAAUUUUUACAUACCAACUUUGGACUUAAGAUGAAUAUUAGAAACUAAUUAAUAAGUUAUUUUUAUUUUUUUUAAUAACAAUAAUAUUAUUUAAUAUUAUACAUAAUAAAUAAAUUUUAUAUUAUGUUAUUAAUAUUGUAUAUACAAUUAUAUUAUAACUUCUAUAUAUGUAGAUUAAAUAUAUUUUAUAUUAUUAAAUAUUUGAUUAAACUUUAUUAUAUAGAAUUGUAUAAACUUAAAUUAUAUUUUUUUUUUUAUCUUUCAAAUAAUUUAAUUUUUUGAAUCAAAUUUUUUUUAUAUUUGAAAAUAAUUAGUGAUUGUCCAAAAUCACAAUAAAUGGAUCAUUUAAGAAAUAAUAUUAUUUUAACUUUAAUGAGUACAUGAGAUUGAAUGUUAGUUGAAACUCUUAAAUUGUUGAUGUGUAAUAUUUGUUGGAAUUUAUAUUUGAUUCUAUUCAUCCUAAAAUGUAAAAAGAAAAAGGAAAAAAAAACUAUUAUUAUAAAUAUGUUUACUUGACUUCAAUUAAAAUAGAAAAAUGAAAUUAAAUAUUUUGAAAAUAAAUGAAAAUAUCAAUAAUUGGUUUUUAAAUGGUACAAUGGCGCACACGCGCACCGACACACACACACAUAUAAGAAUAAAGGAAAUUGAUUAAAUUUUUAACAUCCCUUUAGUUAUCAUAAAUGUCAUAGCAGUCUACACAAUUAUCAAAACACUUCAAUGUUAUUUUUGAAAGUCACAACACUUCUGCAACCAUAGUUUACCAAAGGCCCAACAGUUAUACAUCACAGCUGACUUAUCUUUCACAAUAGCUAAAAGUGAUUUUUCUUAAAGCUGCAGCAAUACCAAACUGACACUUGAUAUGUGAACUUCAAAAUACUGAAUAUGAAUAUGUUAAGAGACCAUAACAUUGAACAUUCUGAACAGUUCAUUUCUAUACAUAUACACACAAGAGACCUUCUUAUUUUUUUAUUUGUUAACUUAUUAUUUUCCCCUAAAGUUCCAAUCCUUUAAGUUCAAAGCAGAGGAGAUGAUAUUAAUUUCAAGAAAUAUCAUUAUUUUUAUAUGUCUUGGUAUGAUGGUCAUCAAUUACAAUAGAAAAGUUUGUAAUAUAUUUAUAGGGACUAGGAAAUGAAUAUUAUUUAGAAACUAAAACAGAAAAAAAACUUUCUUAAUAUAACACGAAGACUAGUAAAAAAAAUAUACUUGCUAAAAGGUAAAUCACCAUUCUGCCUUUACAGCGACAACCUUGAAUUUGCAUCCUACACCCUCAUUCAUUGCAAAGAAACUUCUGAUGUGUGGUUUAAAGUGUUUUCAUUAUUUAGCAUGUCUUGGGUGAUUCCUCAUCAUGCUGCCUUUACAAUAAGGACCUUGAAUUUACAUCCCACACCCUCAUUCAUCAUGCGUGUGCAAGCUCGCACACAAAUACUAUCUAAUAGAUGCUUAGGGACCAAAAUCAACCUCAAAACGAAAUGAAUUGAGUCAGUCAACCUGUCAAGCAGCCAUUAACACUUGAUAUAUUUCCCAAGUAAUACAAAUGCAUAUGAAGAGCCUACACCCAUCUCAAUAUUUAUGUAUCUUCUAUAAUUUGUAUAUGGUGAAAUGAGAAAUGUUUUGUAUACUCACAGUUUUCGGAUUGGAAUCAAGUAUCCUACAUAGUAACGACUUUGAUCCAGAAGAAAACCAAAAUGGACAGGAAAACUCUGCAGCAUUGAUCUGCAAACAAAGCAGAGUACACGUUAGAAGUUUCCUAAUGAUGCUUGCUCCACCCAGUGGGGGAUCCAGGAAUUUGCUCCAAAGGGAAAUCUUUGAUGACAGUAAGUAAAUACAAAAAUAUUGAUUGAGAAUAUUUUGAUUCAAUAAAUUUACUGCCAUUAUGAUAUGUUUUUACUGUCAUUGUCAAUGUCAUCAAACAUUUCUUGAUGAGUAAAUAAGAGAAAGAGAAAGAGAAAAGUGAGGAACAAAUCCACCCUAACAACUCAGAAAACCAAAUCCAUCCCCAGCCGCCUCACCAGCCCCCACAUCUCUCAACACCCCAAAACAACCCUUUUCUAGGUCUAAAAAAACAAUUGAGCCAACAUCUGAAACCCAAAAAAUCCUCGCGCAAUGAGAUCUGUGACCUCGCUGCUCCUCCCCCUGCCCCUAACUAACAGAGGAGAGCUUUUGUAAUUAACUGAACACUCCAAUUUUCAGAUCUCCCUCUCAAAACAGGAAGUUGGGUUUAGCUUCCUUUUUACCCUGAGACAGUGACACCACACCCCCUCCUUGUCUCCAUCUUCCUCAAAAGGGAGAAAAUCUCCUUUUCAUAUCCCUUGACCAGCGUCACCACAUGGCUACUGAAAUUAGCCAACUUAGAAAAGAGACCAUUGGAAGGAACCUUCUCCCCUACCAGCCAGUUGAAGGACUUCAAUUCUGAAAACCCUGCUCCUUAGACCUGACCGCCAAAUAUGUUUGUAUCAAUAUAUAGAAUCUAUCCUUCAUCUAUUGAUCUCCCAUUUGAUUGCAUAAUUAAUUAAAGAAAAUAUUUAAUUUCAUAAAACUUUAGAAAAUCUUUGUUAUACAAAUAAUAAUAAUAAUAAACAUAAUAAUAAUAAUAAGAGAAUUAACAGGUGAUAAAAAAUUUCAGCGAGAAAUUUUAGAAACUUUUAAUACAAAAAAAAAAAACCCUAAAAAAACAUUGAUUAGUUGUUACGCCUAUAAAAAAAAUUGGUUAUCCAACAAGAAAUUUCAGACAUUUUUUUAUUAAAAAAAAUUGAGGAUGACAAUGAAAUCAUAAAAAGUGGUAUAAGUGAGGCUCUUUCUUUUCAAACUAAUGUGUUUUAGUGAGUUUGGAGGUUUUUAACACAAUGGAGUUUUAAUUUGAGUGAGCUACUGGCCAAUAUAGAUGGAGUACUUAUGUCAGCAUUUUGUUUUUUGAACAAAUUAAUUGAAUAUAUGCUUUUAUAUCAACACACAAUAAAACUUCAGCCAUUCAAACAUUGUUCAGGGUCAAAGCCCCAUGCAUCACUAGGGAAACCCUCAUUUUUUAGGUCUUGUUUUCAGAGAGGCAGCUAGCAAUUUUUGAAGGAGUUUUUAUGGUAUUUAUUCUUUUUUUUUCUUGGGGUGGGGAGGGGUGCACGGUCAAGUCUGCUGAUCAAAUGUUCCACAGUACAUAUUUAUGCUACUGAGAAGGGUUUCACACUUCAGGCUGUGCCCAACAAGUUAACCAUCAAACGGUCAUAGGUAUCUGUGGAAACGAACGAUUUUUCAUUCAUGCAUUUCAGACAAAAUAAUGCAGUAUUUAUAGUAUACAAUCCUACAAAAUUAAGAAACUAAAUUACAAAAAAUCAAGUCAUUAGCUAUUUCCUAAAAAUCCUCUACCUUACAAAUCAAGAAAAAGAAAUAUGAAGAAUGAUUUUUCAUUCAUGCAUUUCUGACAAAAUAAUAUAGAAUUUUUAGUAUACAAUCCUGCAAAAUUAAGAAACUAAAUUGCCCAAAAUCAAGACGUUGGCUAAUUCCUAAAAAUUCUCUACCCUACAAAUCAUGAAAAUAAAACAGGGAAGUAUACAACUAUACAAUUUCAAAAAUUAGGGAAUUAAUUCUAUACAAUUAUACAAUCUCAAAAAUUAGAGAAUGUUGUCAACACUACCCCUUAAGCUAGUUAGUGGAUAUUAAUCUCUUCCAACUUACUAGUUAUCCUUUGAAUUAGUGGAUAUUAUUCUUUUCCAACUUACUAGUUAUCCUUAGAAAUGAGUUACUCAAUAGACCCUUUAUUAGGAUAUCAACAAAUUGUACAUCUAUUGAAACAUAAGGAGUAUAGAUCAGUCUACAAUAGCUUCUCUACAAUAAAGCAUCAACCCACUUCAACAUGUUUUGUACAAUCAUGUUGAAUUGGAUUAUGAGCAAUACUGAUUGCUAGUUUAUUAUUGUAGUAUAGCUUCUUAGUCCUCUUCUACUUCACUUCUAGAUCACUAAGAAUUAUUUUGAGCCCAAGUAGUUCACAAAUUCCUCAUGCCAUGACUUUCUACUUCUGCACUGAACCUGACAACUACAAUUUGUUUCUUAUUUUGCAAUGUCACCAAACUUCCUCUAAAAAUAGUACAAUGCCCAAAAGUUGAUAUGCAAUCUACAGUUAAUCCUCUCAAUCUACAUCAAUGUAGCCUUACAAACUUCUCUUCACUUUUCUUGGAGAGUAUUCCCUUACCUGAAAUGGAAUUUAAGUAUCACAAAAUUUGUGUGCAGCCUGUAAGUGAGCCUCUUCAAGAGAGCGUAUGAAAUGGCUACUACAAUCACAACAUUGGUUAUACCAGGCCUCAUGUGAGACAAAUAAAUGAGUUUCACAACUAGCCUCUAGCAACUUUCCCUGUUUAUGGUUGUGUUUUCAGAUGUUUCUCCAAACUCAUGAUUUGUUCUGUUGAGAGAGAGAGAAAGAAGAAAGACCUUAAUUCUCAUUCAUGUCAUAUCUACUUACAAUUGAGAAAUAUAUAUAUAUACAAGGCUAGGAGUCCUAACUACCAUACAUGUGACCUAUAUUAACAAGGAAAUAUUAUACACUAUAAAUACAUUAUAUUCAACACUCCCCCUCAAGCUGGAGCAUAUACGUCAUAUGCACCAAGCUUGUUACAAAUAUAUUUAAUCCUAGGACCUCUGAGAGAUUUAGUGAAGAUGUCUGCUAGUUGAUCAUUUGAAUUAACAAAACUUGUAGCAACACAUCCUGAUGCGAUCUUCUCUCUAAUGAAAUGACAGUCAACUUCAAUAUGUUUGGUCUUUUCAUGAAAGACUGGAUUGGAUGCAAUAUGUAAUGCGGCCUGGUUAUCAUAGAUGAGUUUCAUCUGUUCAUUCUUUCCAAAUCUCAACUCUCAAAGAAGAUGUCUCAACCAUAUGAGUUCACAUGUUGCCAAAGUCAUAGCUCGAUACUCGGCUUCAGCGCUAGAUCUGGCCACUACAUCUUGUUUCUUACUCUUCCAAGAUAUUAGAUUACCUCCAAUAAAAACACAAUACCCUGAAGUGGAACGUCUAUCUGUGGGUGAGCCAGCCCAAUCUGCAUCUAUGUAACCAACAACCUGAGUAUGACCUCUGUUCUUGUACAACACACCUUGGCCUGGUGUACGUUUGAUAUAUCGAAGAAUGCGGAUUACGGCAUCCCAAUGGCUAUCACAUGGUGACUGUAGGAAUUGACUAACAACACUCAUAGGAAAAGAAAUGUCUGGACGAGUAAUGGUGAGAUAGUUCAAUUUACCUACGAGUCGUCGAUAUCUCCCAGGGUCUCCUAAAGGCUCCCCCUGUCCUGGUACAAGUUUGACAUUCGGAUCCAUAGGUGUGUCUAUCGGUUUACAGUCUAACAUACCAGUUUCUUCCAGGAUGUCAAAAGCAUACUUCCUUUGGGAAAGGACCACACCGGAACUGGAUUGAGUUAUCUCAAUUCCCAAGAAAUACUUAAGUUUCCCCAAGUCUUUGGUCUGAAAGUGGGUAAAAAGAUGUUGCUUUAGUUUCUGAAUACCAUCCUGAUCACUGCCUGUAAUGACGAUGUCGUCCACAUAAACAACCAGAUAAAUACACUGCCCCAAGGAGUUAUGAUGAUAGAAAACCGAAUGGUCUGCUGUACUGCGAAGCAUGCCAAACUCUUGAACAACAUAACUAAAACGGCCAAACCAUGCUCGAGGAGAUUGUUUCAGGCCAUAUAGAGAACGGCGUAACCUACACACUAAACCAGACUCCCCCUAGCAACAAAACCAGGAGGUUGCUCCAUAUAAACUUCCUCGGCAAGAUCACCAUGAAGGAAGGCAUUUUUAAUAUCCAACUGAUAAAGAGGUCAAGAACACAUAGCAGCCAUGGAGAGAAGCAAGCAGACAAAAGCAAUCUUGGCAACUGGGGAGAAUGUGUCACCAUAAUCAGAACCAUAAACCUGAGUAUAGCCUUUAACAACUAAGCGGGCCUUAAGGCGAUCAACCUGACCAUCAGGACCAACCUUAACUACAUAGAUCCAACGAUAGCCAACGGUAGAUUUACCAGAGGGUAAAACAACAAGAUCCCAAGUGCCAUUAGAGUGCAGAGCAGCCAUUUCAUCCACCAUUGCCUAUCGCCAGCCUGGAUGGGAAAGAGCUUCAUGGGUGCUCUUUGGAAGAGAAACAGAGGAUAUAGCAGAAACAAAAGCAAAAUAGGGUGAAGAUAAUCGAUGAUAACUCAAAAAAUUGUAAAUAGGAUGAGGAUUUCGAGUAGAGCGAGUACCUUUCCGAACAGCAAUGGGUAAGUCAUUAGGAGAAGGCAGAGCUGGGGCAGGUGAAGCCGAAGGGAUAGGAAGUGAGUCAGCAGGUGCCUCAGCAAAAGGGAGAGGAGCAACAACACGAGGGCGACGAUGAUAAACCUGAAGUGGUCGAGGAGGCAUAGCAUCAGGUAGGGAGACAAUGGGAAUAGGCAAGACUUCAGAAACAGGAAGAGACUCAGAAGUGGUGGAAAAGAAUGGUGAGUCCUCAAAGAAAGUGACAUCAACGGAGAUAAAGUAUCAAUGAGUCUCAAGGGAAUAACAACGAUAACCUUUCUGAAGUCUGGAGUAUCCCAAGAAGAGGCACUUCAUGGCUUUGGCGGAAAGCUUGUCCUGUCCAGGAGUGAGAAUAUGAACAAAGCAAGUACAAUCAAAGACACGAGGAGAAAGGAAAUAAAGUGGUUGGUCAGGGAAGAGAAGGGAGUGAGGAAUCUGAUCGUGUAAGACAGAGGAGGGCAUACGAUUAAUCAAAUAACAAGCAGUAAGAACAGCGUCCCCCCAAAAACGAAAAGGAACAUUACUAUGGAGGAGGAUAGUACGAGCUGUCUCAACAAGAUGUCGAUUCUUGCGUUCAGCUGCCCCAUUUUGUUGAGGAGUAUGAGCACAAGAAGACUGAUGAAGAAUCCCAUGAUGAGACAUAAACGAAGUAAAUGGGCCUAAAAAAUAUUCUCUGGCAUUGUCACUGCGUAACACACGAAUAGAAAUAUUGAACUGGGUUUGGAUUUCAGCAUAAAAUUUCUGGAAAAUAGAGAAUAACUCAGCUCGAUUUUUCAUUAAAAAUAACCAAGUACAUCGAGAAUAGUCAUCAAUGAAAGCGACAAAAUACUGAAAUCCUAAAGUAGACGCAGUCCGACAAGGACCCCAAACAUCAGUGUGGACAAGCUCAAAAGGAGACUUUGCCCGAUUAUUCAAACGCUUUGGGAACGAGACACGAGUAUGUUUCCCAAGCUGACAUGACUCACACGGAAGCGACGACAAAGUGGAAAAACGAGGGACCAUCUUCUGGAACUUGGAGAGAUUAGGGUGGCCCAGACGAUUGUGAAUAAGGAGAGGAGCAUCAGUGGAAAUGCAAACUGCAGGAGAUGAAUCCGAGGUGAGGUGAUAGAGGAGAAAAGAUCCUUAUUACCAGAUAAGUGAUCAGAAGCUCCAGAAUCUAGAAUCCAGGGUCCAAGAGGAGAUGUGUGGGUAAGGCAGGCAGAGGCAUUACCGGGCUGGGCAACAGAGGCAACAGAAGCCUGAGAUGCGGAAGAGCUCGGAGGCUGAGGCAGCGAAGAAUCAGAGGACUAGGCCACAUGGGCAGUGCGAGGAGGUCGUCCAUGUAACUGAUAGCAACGAUCGCGAGUGUGGCCAAAUUUAUUGCAAUAGGUGCAAUGAGGACCUCUACCUCGGGUACCACUGCGGCCUCCUCGAGAGCUAGUUUGAGAAACUAACACAGAAGAAUCUGAAGUGCUAUCAAAUGGCAAAGUCUGAGUGGAGGAGAUACGGAGGAGGCGAGCAAACAUAUCAUCCAAGGACAGAACUGAUGAACUACCAAGAAUCUGAUCGCGGACAGGCUCAAGAUCCGGACGGAGGCCAAUAAGAGUAAGAACCAUGAAGAACUUGUCAAGCUGUGUUUGUUGAGCCCCAACAUUAGGAGUAAGAGGCAUCACAGUCAAGAACUCCUCCUUAAGAGAGGCAAUCUGGCCAAUAUAAGUAGAUAGAUCCAAGUCCUGUUGGAUGAUAUGGACAAUAGCAGAAGCCACCUUAUAAAGACGCUGGAUAUCAUUCGUAUAUAAUCCUUUGGCCUGAGUCCAAAAUUUAAAACAAGUUUUGUAGGCCCGAAGAUGAAGAAGAAUCUUGGGAUCAACCGAUUGCUAUAAUACACUACAUAACUGUGCAUCUAUCUUCCUCCACUGUACGCGGUCAACCUCAGGGAUAUCUGCUUCCUGUGUAAUCAAGUGAUCCUCAUAUCCUUGACCCAUAAACCAAAGUUCAAUAGAGGCAGACCAGGAAAGAUAAUUGUCACUGCCAACCAAUUUCUCCGAAGUAAUCAUAGGAGAUCCAGAUAUAACAGAGGAAAAAAUGGAAGUUUUAGUAGCCAUAUCUACUUAUCUGGAGAAUGAAGUACAUUUGGAUCGAAGAGAGCCCUAAUACGGCUGUAGAUCGCGGCGUGGCACCACUGGAAAGGGAGACAGCUUCAGAUCACGGCAUGGCACCACCGGAAAGGUGGACGAACACUUCCUUAGGCACGUGCAGGGAUUAGGAUGGAGAAAAAGUAGCUGAAGCUCGCCGGAAAAACUGUUUGGAGGGUCGACGGAGGCAAAAAACCCCAAAAAAGGUACGUGCAGGGCUCGGAUGGCAGAACCAAGGAUGAAGGAAGGAUAGUCAGUGUCAAGCGAGGCUGGAGGAGGAGGCGCGUGGCCGGGAAAGUCCUCACGCGCCCUCAAGCGCCGGCGCAUGAGAUGCAGUAACCGGACGAAAAAUUGCGCGUGGCUAGCGCGUGGAUGAUCUUUUGGUUCCGGUGCCUUCACAAAAGUUGGAGAUCUCUUCCAGGCGUUCCUUCUGGUAUGGUCGGUGUCGGAAAAAGACGUCGCCGGAAAGUUUGCCGGAAAAGUUUGCCGGCGGUGAGUGUUUUCUGACGACGAUCCGACUGACCGGAAAGUAUUGGGAGAUGGGGAAGGUGACCGGAAUGAAACACGGUCACCGGAAAGUUUCCCGGAGUUGAUGACACGGGAAACUGAAAAGAAUUAGGUUUUCUCCCUUGGCUCUGAUACCAUGUUGAGAGAGAGAGAAAAAGAAGAAAGACCUUAAUUCUCAUUCAUGUCAUAUCUACUUACAAUUGAGAAAUAUAUAUAUAUACAAGGCUAGGAACUACCAUACAUGUGACCUAUAUUAACAAGGAAAGAUUAUACACUAUAAAUACAUAAUAUUCAACAUGUUCAAUAGGAGUGUCAAUAGGCUUACAUUCGAGCAUGUAAGUUUCUUUGAGAAGGUCGAGAAUAUACUUUUGUUGGGAAAUAAAAAUAUUGUUUCUUAAAUUAGCCACUUCAAUUCCUAAAAAAUAUUUGAAUUUGCCCAAGUCCUUUAUCUCAAAUUCUUUGGUCAAUAGUUUCUUCAAUAUCAUCCCUAGUCACGAUCAUAUCAUUCACAUAAACAAUUAAAGUUGUGACUUUACCAAUUGUUGACCAUUUGAUAAAUAGAGUAUGAUUCCCUUGCCUUUGUCAGAACUUCCAAUUUCCCAUAACUUAACCAAUCUUCAAAACUACACUUUAGAAGAUUGUUUUAGACCAUAUAUUGCCUUUUUUAGUCGGUAUUCUGCCUUGAAUCCAUCACUAAAACUUGGAAAUGCUUCCACAAAGACCACUUCUUCUAGGUUACCAUGCAAAGAGUUCUUAAUGUCAAACUAUUGCAAAGACCAACCAAGGUUAGCUACUAACUUCAACAAUAUUCAUUUAGUAUUCAUCUUUACUACCAAAGCAAAGGUUUCCCGAUAAUCCACUUCAUAUGUCUGAGUGUAGCCUUUGGUUACAAGUUUAGUUUUAUAUCUCUCCAAGGUUCCAUCUACCUUAUAUUAUACAGUAAAUACCUGCUUAUACAGUUAUACCCUUACUGGUUUCUUCCCUUAGAGUAAUUCAACAAAUUCCCAUGUCUUAAGUUUUUUUCAAGAGCACUCAUCACCUAACACAACUUUCCUCCAAUUCUCAUUCCUAAUUGUCUCUUGGACAAUUGAUGGAAUUUGAAUAAGAUUUAAUUGGGUAAUGAAGACUCGAUGUUGUGAGGAUAAUAUAUCAAAAGAUAUGAAGUUAGAAAUAAGGUGUAGGGUGCAUUUUCUGAUUCCUUUCCUAAAAGCUAUUAGCAAAUUUAGGUCUUCGGCUAGGAUUAGAUUCAAUACCUAUCACAGUUUUGGAUUCUUGGGUUUGCAUGGGAAUAAGGUUUGUUAGUCUUCUUAAGUAGACUUGUAGCGGCAUAGCAAUAAUGUUACCAUUUCUCUCGUCCUCAUUCUCAAGUUCAAAUGUGUCUAACCAUAGGAGUAGAUUCAAUGAUUGCUAAUGGGGAAAUAUCUAGACUACAUAUAAUAGGGGUCAUAAGAGAUAAAUUUGGCAGAUCAAGUAAGCUCAAGUUAGUCUAAUCUUUGUUUAAUGACAAGGACUCCCCCUAAAGAUUAGAAUCAGUGAAAAAGGAUUGUUUGUUCAACAAAAGUGGCAUCCAAGGAAAUGGAAACAAAAAUUCAUAGAAAUAGGAUGAUAACAUUAUACCUAUUCUUUGUUGGUGAAUGACCAAUGAAGACACAUUCAAGAGCUCAAGGAUCAAGUUUACAUCGACUUUGAGCAUGAAGAAGGACAAGGAGACACAUUCAAACGUUUUAGGUGGGAUUUUGCUAAAUCCAUGAAAAUCAAGAAAGAAUUCAAAGGGAACAUUUACUAAGGCUUUGUUUCCCAAUACCUUAGAAGGUAACCAAUUAAUGAAGCAAGAAGAUGAGAAUUUUUUCUUUCUACAACUCCAUUUUGUUGUGAAGUAUCUUUACAUGAUGACUCAUGUUUUAUUCUCUCUCUUCUAGGUAAGAAAAUAGGGUCAGGUUAAAAUAUUAUUUAAACAUCAAACUGAGUACUAAUCAUCUUGUGGAAAGUAGAGAAAGCAGAACUAACAUUAGAUUUGUUUUUUAAAAGGUAUAAUCAAGUGGCACAAAAACAAUCAUUGAUCAAAAGAACAAACUAACGAGCUCUAUUGAUAUUUAGAAUUCGAGAGGCUCCCCAAACAUUAGUAUGAAUUAAUGUAAAGAUAUUAGAUGUUCUAUUAUUGCUCAAAGGGAGAGAAACUCAAUAAUGUUUUGUCAAUUAAGAAAAUUCAUAAUAGAAGUCAUCAGCAUUCAAAUCUUGAAAUAACAGAAGAAACAUAAUCUUUAAUAACAGAAAAGAUGGAUGUCCUAAAUGUAAAUGAUGCAGCUAGAUUUGGAUUUUAUUAGAUAAAAAACCUCGAAAGAUGAGAUAAAGGUAUAUGAUCACUACCAUUGUCCCUCCCAGCAUCAAGAUAGUAAAGCCCAUCCUGUUCCCAAGCAUGACCCAUCAUCAUCCCCAUAUCAAGGUCUUGAACAACAAAGAGGGAUGAGAAAAAUGUUACUUUGAAAAUUUAGGUCUUUGGUAACUUGAUAAAUUGAUAGAAGAUUUAUUAAGAGUUUAAGAAUGUGUAGAACAGAUUUUAGGGAAAGAUAUGUGUUAAGGGUAAUAGUCCUUUAUCCAGCCACAGUAGCUAAACUACCACCAGCUACUUUGAUUUUUUGGUUUCCAUGACAUUAGCUAGAGGACAAGAAAUGAUGAGAGUUAUAGGUCAAGUAGCCAAUGGCACUAGAGUUUAUAACUCCGAAGUCUUUAAUCUCUUCCCCUUUUAGUCCCAUAAAUUCUAAGCUGUUUGAAUUCUUAUGGUUGGGUUUCUCCUUAUUCUGAUUAAUUCUAGUUUUGGUUCCCUCCAUUCCUAUUGAAGGACUACAGUUUCCCACAUAACUACUAACACAUCUCUUUUGUAUACCUUGGCUUUUUGCAAUGAGUACACCAACAGUUAUCCUUGUUACUUGAGUGCCUAGAUAUCUCUCCUCCACCAAAAAUUGUGCAAAAGGAUUGGACCACUUUGAGAGCUUGAAACAAUAAGAGUAGAACCUUCACUUACAUAUUGUCCAGCAUUACACUCCUCCAUUUUUUAACCUUUAUGAUUGAGAAUAUCUCAUUCAAGGGUGUUAAUUAUUCCUUCCCAAGUACUUGAGUAGAUACUUUUUUUUUUUUUUUUUUUGAUAGAUAAAAAAGAUGUACAUAUAGAAAAGAGGAAGCACCAAAAGCAGUGCCCUCAGAGUACACAAGGAGUAAACAAAAGAAGCCAAAAGGCUCAAACCGAAGGGGAAGGGAUAGAAACAAGAAACAUCACCUACCCUUACUUAGAGCCUAACCAAUCAAUGAAGCUUACAAGUGAAGAAGGGCUCAAAACUAUAGACACCCUAACCUAAGAUCAAAUAUUACAUACAAAAGAAUUUUUCAAUCUUUGGAGCGAAAGCUCCUUAUUACCAAACGCUAACAUAUUCCUUUCCUUCCAGAUUGUCCAAAAUAUACAUAAGGGUGUCAUUUGCCAAGCCUUUUUACGAGCUUUCCCCACAAAAGCCCCAUGCCACCCAAGAAGAGUUUCCUUCACUAAACAAGAGAGAAUCCAGGCCACACCAAAGAGGGAGAAAAGAAGAUUCUACAAAACCCAAGUCUUUGACAAUGAAGAAGAAGACGAUCCACCAUUUCUACUUCAAAAGAGGCAUAGAAAACACCUAUUUGCCAACAAGUGUCCCCUCCUUUAAAGUUGGUCCAAAGUUAAGACUUUCCCCUAAGAAGCCUCCCAAGCAAAGAAAGGCACCUUAGGAGGCACACUCACUCUCCAAAUACUACCACUAGGGAACAAAGGAGAAUCUUCGGGCUCCAAAAUAGAAUAAAGAGACUUGACCGUAAAGGUGCCACACCUCGAAGCUGUCCAAAUCACUCUAUCUUCCACCUCCCUUUGCACCCUAAAAGCUUGGAUCUUUUGCAAAAAAUGCUCCACCAACUCUACCUCCCAAUCAUUGAACACCCUUGAGAAAAGAGGGGUCCAACCACCCCCAUCACCAUCAAGGUUCCAAACAUCUGAAACCCAAGCUUCCUUAGACAAAGAAAUGGAAAAUAAAGAAGAGAAUGACUCACAAAGUGGCUCAUCUCCACACCAUUUGUCCAUCCAGAAUCUCACUCUCUGCCCAUUACCCACUUAGUAGGCCAACCUACCACUCAAAUAAAUCCACUCCUUCCUAAUUGUUUUCCACAAUCUUGAGCAGAUACUUGAUCAUAUUCCACGUUAAAUCCAGCCAAUAAUUCCAAUAUUUGCUCUUUCAAUAAACUAAAGGAACAUAGCAACAUCCACACUAGUAUUCAUUUUAAGUUUUUGGUAAUAAUCUAGUUCAAAUCACAAUCCUUUUAUAAUAUUAUAGUACUUAAUCAUGGAUAAGGUACCUUACUUUAUAAAGUGAAUAUUGGUCUUUAUCUUGUAAAUCUGAGUAGCAUCUACGACUUUGGAAUAGGUCUGUUUCACUACCUCCUAGAUUUCCUUUGUCCUGGUUAAGAACGUGCAUGUUCUGCUGAUUUUGGAUUGCAUUGUGUUCUAUAGCCAGAACAUGAUCAUUGAGUCCUCCUAAACCUAAGGAGAAGACUUGGAAUCAUCUUCACUUGAUGCUGGUCCUAUCAAGUGGUUGAGCUUGCCUUUUUCCCCUCAAAAACAUGUGCACAUGUUGCAACCAUACCAAACAGUUUUGGUCAUUAAGUUUGAAUGAGGGUUGAAAGUUCUGAUAUUUACCGAUAGGUAGUUAGUUCAAGAAGACAGUGUCUAAGUUUGGAUUCCUAAGGUUUUGUUUUCUGAGCUUUUCAACAUAGCAGGCAUUGAAGUAGACCAAACUUAAGUGCAAUUUCUGAAUUCCAAAAAAACUAUUGAAUGACAACAGUCUAGAAAUGAUCACAGUAAAGAAGGCCGCUGAGAAGAGAGGAAAAAAUACAAUGACAACAAUGAAGGUCACUUGAGGCAGAAAAUAGCAGCAAUGAAGGCCAUUAGAAGUUGGUGAUAAUGAAGACCAUUAGGAAAAAAAUAAAAGAAAACUUAGAGGCCUCGAACAAACUUUGAUACCAUGUGAAAAAAUAACAUCCAUGCAUUUCUGACAAAAUAAUAAAGUAUUUAUAGUAUACAAUCCUACAAAAUUUGGAAACUAAAUUACACAAAAUCAGGAAAUUGACCGAUUUCUAGAGAUUGUCUACUCCACAAAUGAGGAAAAUAAAACAGGAAAGCAUCCAACUACAAAAUCUUGAAAAUUAAGGAAUUAAUUCCAUACAAGUAUACGAUCUCAAAAAUCAUGGAAAAUUAAUUCCCUGUUAUGUUUAAUCAGAUCAUCAAGAGUAUUAGUGUAAGACACGGUAUAGCAUUUUUGGCAAAGUAACCUCCAACGAUCAGGAAUAGAAUGCAAUUAUGCCACAAUAUGGAGGCCCCUGUCUAACAGAUAAAAGGUGUGUCUAAUUCAAGAGGAAAUAAAAAGACAAAAAGUGUGUCCUUGCUACACAAAUGCCUUUGCACAAGUUAUUACUACUUAAUGCAAAACAGAUCAACUUAAGCAUGAAUAUUUUGUAGAUUUUCAAGUAUCAAACGUCAUUACAUCAGUAGGUUUAAAAGAUCCCUGAGCUAUCCAACAGUCCAGUGAAAACAAAUUAUGGCAGUUUACCUUUUUGUACAAGCUUGGAAGGUCUAUCUCAUUAAAUGGAAGAUAUCCUGCCAUUAGAACAUAGAGAAUGACUCCACAUGACCACACAUCAGCAGCUGCACCGUCAUAACCUUGGUUACUAAGCACCUAAACAGCAAGGAUUUAAUGUAAGAAAUUAUAUAACAUUAGAAACUCAGAAUAUGGUCUUUAUUCAUCUCAUAGGAGACAAUUAAGAGAAAUUUUUAUUCAUGAUUAAGUUCGCUAAAGCUUAAUAAACACCCAACUUGCAAAAAGUUAGGGAUGGUUACAAGUAAGUUAUAAAGCCUCCCAAGUGAUCAUAAUACACAAAAGAUCAAAAGUUCAGUACCAUGAUUAUCAUUCUUUUUAUAGGUAAAUUUUUGUCCAAAACUUGAACCUGGAACCACCCACAAACCCUGCCCAACCGUUUACCACUUGAGUCAAGCCUCAAUGGUUGUACCAUACUUAUCAUUAUUUAGUAAAUCUAAAGGAGAAGAGACAUAAAUUACUGAUAUAAUACAAAUGACAAGGGUUAGAAAAAAGAAAGAAAAGGAAUAAAAGAUGAAAUUAUUCCCAUAGAAGGAAAGGUAAAUCCAAAAGAGUGUAGAAUAUAUGUGAAUUCAAGGAAGACAUCAGGAGAAACUUCUCCACUACGCUUCUUAUGCUCAAUCAGGAAUCCAAACAGUCUGUUCCCUUUUCCCAUUCCCACACCUCACCAACCCCACCACACCCUAAAAUGGGUUAAGGGGGAAAAAGGGAGAAAAAGAGGAAAUAAAAAAAAGAAAUAAAGUGCAAAUGCAGCAAGAACACUAAUUUCAGUGUUGAAAAUAUCUCAGAUAUAUGAAUUAAGUAGCAUGACUUUUGUCCCCUUAUUGGACAAUGAUAUAUAUUCAACUUUUAACGAAAAGGGAGAGAAAAUUGACAGAGGAGGAAACAGUCUGUAAAAAGGAAGCCAAGGAGAGAUAAGCUAAGUGGGUGUCCAUGGAAGAAACCCAUUGGAGACAGCUUCAAGGGAGUUAUGGCUAAGGGGAUAGAAAUACGAGCUAUAUUUCCAUCGUAUGGCAACUGCUCAUCGAAAAGUUAAUUCCCUGGACAGAAUCAAGAUAAAUGGGGUGUGGUUAUCAGAGGAGCAAGAAGUGAGGGAAGGGAUAGCGAACGCCUUUCAGCAACUACUCUCAGAAAGUUCAGAUUGGAAGGCGGACAUAGGGAGACUACAGUUAAAGUAGAUCAGCCAGCAAGAAGCGGAAUUUCUAGAGCUCAUUUUUUCUGAGACUGAGGUCCAUGCUGCUUUAAUGGAUAUGAAUGGGGACAAAACCCCAGGACCGGACGACUUCACUGUGGCUAUUUGGCAAAGCUGUUGGGAUUUCGUAAAGGAGGAGAUAUUGGAUAUUUUUAAGGAGUUCCAUGAGCAGAAUUCUUUCCUCAAGAGCCUUAACAAUACGUUUCUGGUCUUGUUACUGAAGAGAGGGGGGGCUGAGGACCUUGGGGAUUAUAGACCCAUCAGCCUGGUAGGGGGGCUGUAUAAAUUGUUGGCUAAGGUGCUAGCCAAUAGACUCAAGAAAGUGAUAGGAAAAGUGGUUUCCCCCGAUCAGAAUGCGUUUGUCAUGGGAAGACAGAAUCUAGAUGCCUCUUUAAUUGCAAAUGAGGUGAUUAAUUCAUAGCAAAAAAAGGGAGAGAAAUGCCUAAUUUGCAAAUUGGAUAUCGAGAAGGCAUAUGACAGCAUUAACUGGCAGUUUUUGCUGAAGGUUUUUCAAAAAAUGAGGUUUGGGCCAAAGUGGUUGGGAUGGAUGUGGAGUUGUAUAUCCACAGCCAAGUUUUCAGUCUUGGUAAACGGAGUGUCAACCAGGUUUUUUCCAAGUUCUAAGGGGCUGCGCCAAGGGGAUUAUCUUUCCCCCCACCUAUUUGUCAUGGGAAUGGAAGUGCUAAGUGUUCUAAUUAGGAGGCCUGUUGAAGGGGGUUUUAUCUCUGGGUGUAGCAUCCGGCGAGGUAAAAGACAAGCUGUCAACAUUUCACACUUACUCUUUGCUAAUGAUACAAUCAUUUUUUGUGAGGCAAAAAAAGAGCACUUAACGCAUUUGAACUGGAUUCUUUUUUGGUUUGAAGCUGCUUCAGGGUUAAGGAUUAAUUUGGCCAAAAGUGAAAUUAUACCGAUUGGAGAGGUGGAAGAGGUGGACGAGAUGGCAAUGGAACUAGGGUGUAGGGUGGGACAGUUGCUUGCAGUCUACUUGGGGCUGCCAUUGGGGGCGCCUAAUAAGGCCUCUUCCGUGUGGGAUGGGGUAGAAGAGAAAGUGAGGAGGAGACUUGUCCUUUGGAAACGUCAAUAUAUAUCCAAAGGUGGGAGAAUUACACUUAUAAAGACCACAAUGGCUAGUAUGCCCUUGUAUCAAAUGUCCCUUUUCCGCAUGCCAAAGACAGUGGCAAGAAGGUUAGAAAAGUUGCAUAGAGAUUUUUUGUGGGAAGGGGGUAAUCUGGAAAAGAAAGCCCACUUAGUCAAUUGGGAGGUGGUUUGUGCAGAUAAAGAAAAUGGGGGGCUUGGCUUAAGAAAGCUAGCCCUCUUGAACAAAGUCUUGCUUGGAAAAUGGAUAUGGAGAUUUGCUUAUGUUGAGAAGGAUCUUUGGAAGCAGGUGUUUGUGGCGAAGUAUGGGUAAGAGGAUCUUGGUUGGAGGACAAAGAAGGCAAAUGGGGCGUUUGGAGUAGGGAUUUGGAAGGAGAUCUUGAAGGAAUCUGUUUGGUUCUGGGAAAAUAUGGCGUUUAAAGUGGGAAAAGGCACCAAAAUCAUAUUCUGGACUGAUCUUUGGUGUGGGUGUACAAUGUUGUCCCAAAGAUUCCCGCAUCUUUAUGCUAUGGCUGUUCAUAAGAAUGCCACAGUGGAAAAGAUGUGAGACCAGAAUUUCGGCCAAGGCGGCUGGAAUUUAAGGUUUCUUAGGGACUUUAAUGAUUGAGAAUUGGAUAUGGUAGACAAUUUGCUUUUUGUUUUGAGGGGUCACAGGAUUACUUUGGAGGAAGACUCGGUUUUUUGGAAGGAAGGAAGAAACGGGCAGUUUAGAGUCAAGAAAGCGUACAACUUGUUGGUAAGCCCCAUGGCCGCCAUUUUCCCAAAAAGUAACAUUUGGGUGGAUAGAGUUCCAACCAAAAUUGCGUUCUUUGCGUGGAAAGCCGCUUGGGGGAAGAUGCUUACUCUUGAUAGACUCCAGAAAAGAGGGUGGCAGCUUCCUAAUUGUUAUUUCUUGUGUGGUUGCGAAGAGGAAACUGUAAAUCAUAUUCUAAUACACUGUACAGUGGCUAGAGUGUUGUGGGAUAUUGUUCUUGGUUUGUUUGGCACUCAGUGGGUUUUUCAGAAACUGUAAAGGAGGUUUUAUUUAGCUGGAGGGACUCUUUUGUAGGGAAAAAAAGGAAAAAGAUUUGGAAAUUCAUUCCGAUGUACAUUUUUUGGAUGGUUUGGAAGGAGAGGAAUAGACUAGCUUUUAAGGGGGGGUGUUAGGAAUUCAGAAGCUUAAAAAUUCUUUUGUUUGUAAUUUAUGGGAUUGGGCUAAAUUGUAUAUUGGAGAAGAGUCGCUCUCCCUUAUAGGCUUUUUGGAAUGGUUAGCUUCCAGUUAAGGGUUGGUGAGUUUUUUGUUUCUUCUUCUUUUAAUAGCGAGGCCUUAGCUACCUUGUAUACUCCUUGUAUGCUUUGUGGCUUUUUUGCCUCUUGUUAAUACAUUCUGCGCUUAUUUAUCAAAAUAUAUAUAUAUAUAUAUAUAUUCAACUUUUAACAUGGACAAGUUGAUUGUAACCAGAAAUAAAGACUUGAGCCCUUGAACUAGCAAUAAACAAAGUACACCCUUUUCAAAAUUUCUAACAAUUAUCAAUAUAAUGUCUUCAACAUGAACUUAACACAGAAAGAUUGCUUAUGUUUGAGAGUAUGCACCUCAACAAUUAAAUUCAAUCUAACAGCAGAAAAUGUAAAAGAUUGUUAGCAUAAAUAACAAACACAAUGAACUGAGCAUAGCUAACCAAAUUAUACAAUUAUGUUAGAAAGCAAAGGCAGAAGAAAAGCAUGUGACACCAUGUUAGACGCAUACUGCAUUAUCUUUUAAAUUUUUCAUACCGUACCUCAGGUGCAACAUAAUUUGGGGUUCCACAUGUGGUAUGAAGAAGUCCAACCCCCUGACAUGGAUAUUAACAUAAACAAUAGAGUGAGCACACACACGCACAUUUAUAAGGUUAAAGGCAGAAUUAUCCAGUGUCAUCUGGUGCAAAACAAAAACAAUCAUGCUUACUUGUUUAGGCAAUGCACUAAGUCCAAAAUCAGAAACCUUCAAAUUUCCAUUCGAAUCAAGAAGUAGAUUUUCAGGCUAAAAUUGAAGGAGAAGCAAAGAAAGAUUACAAGGGAUCAGAACAUGAUAGCAUGAAUUCUAAUCAUCAAAAGAGAUGAGUCACAUGCCAAACAUUGUGGUGCACCUUCAGAUCUCUGUGGUACACACCCUUACUGUGACAAUGUGAUACAGCAUCUAUAAGCUGCUGAAAGUAUCGCCUGGAUUCAUUUUCAGAGAGUCUUCCUUGGUGAACCUGUAUAUGCAUGGCCAGCAUAAACAAGAAUAUUCAGCAUCAGAAAUGAUGGAUAGUUUUUUACCUGAAUGACAUUUUUGGAAUGCUGUGCAAAACCUACAAGCUUAAAGAAAGUCGAUAUUCCUGUAGAAGCUAAAUACUAUAUAUUACCCAUCCACCAGUCCAUAUAUGUAAACAUAAACACAUAUCAACAAAAAUGUAGCUUACUGUCCAACCUUUACAUCCAUCAGUCCAUUCAGCAACAAUUAAAAUGUACUUACUGAAGUUAUUAUAAGCAUUAAUGAAAUGUUAAAACAAAGUACAACAGUGAAGCUAAUCCAACCAAUGAAAUAGCACAUGCUCAUAACAGAAUGCAAUAUCAACAAAAAUGUUUAAAGCUGGAAAUUAUUCCAGGAAACAAAGAAGAAAAAAAUUAGAAUCUCAGAUGUUACAGAAGUACCACUCGUUGAUGGACCAGUGUCUGAAAUUGAAAGUCCUCUCUUCCCUCAACCAGAUAGAUUCUAUCAAAGUCUUAGAUAGGCCCACGCAUUAGCCUUUUGUCAAAAUUGCCAUAUUCGCUAAAUAUUCAAAUAAUUAUCAUAUUCACUUUCUAACUUACAUUAUCAAAGUAAAAGUGGAGAGAAUCAAAUAAAGCUGGAAACUACUGCAACCCAAUGUUGCAGUAAAUUGACGUAUGACAAUGCAGGUAAGCCACCUGGCUUAGGAAGAAUAAUGGAGCUGGAGGCAUAGCUCACAAGCCAAAAAAAAUAUGCUACUUUACAACCAUACAAAAUCAUCUGAUGAUUCAAAUAACAUAUCAACCACCCAACAAGACCAAGCAACAUAUUCCUUUUUCCAAGCACUAGAACAACCAUUUAUAAGUUUGUUAAUCAAAGUAAAAUAUUUAGGAUGCUUCUCAUUGAGUGAAACAUGAUUGAAGAGUUGGUCAUUUUAAAAGAGUGUAACUCCAGCAGUAGAAGGAGCCUUGAACAAACUGCAGCUCUAAAUGUCCUGGUCUUCAAUCAGGACCAUAGAUUAAGCUCAAUAUAUUUUUUUCCUUUUUUCUCCUGCAUCAAAUUGUAAGACUUGAUUGACUCUUUAAAACACAACCAAGUUAAGUACUUGCUAGAACCAAAGAGUGUGCAGGAACUGUGUUCAAUAAAGUCUAACCUUGUCAAAUCAAUCUCAAUUAACAACAUGGGGAUGCAACAUGUAAAAAAUUGGUCACCAUGUUGCAAACUCUACAUGCAAGAAUCUAAUAAGAAAUUACCCCAUGAAUAUCACAGAGUUCCUCAAAUACAGAGCCUAUUUAAAGGAAAUAGAGGGAAUAGCAAAGUGUUAUAGCAGGGAAAAAGCACACAGAAGGUAGUGUAAAUUAGAAUUGAGAUGCAAUCAACAUGAUGAAUCAUUUAAUGACUCUUUUCACUCCAAUUAAUAAAUAUAUUUCCAAAACUGCCUGAAAACUAUGGUCCUUUCUAAGAAUUGUGUGAUUAACACUUUUCAACGUGACAACUUAGUCUAAGACCAGUUUUGAAACUCAAAACUGGUUUUAGAAUCAGAAUGAGGAAACUUUCAAACAAUGUAACCAAAAGAAAAUAGAAACUUUUAAUGUCUUAUUUCCUUUGUCCAUCAAAAAACAAAAAAGAAAAAGAAAAGAAAAAAGAAAACCCAAAAAUAGUUGUCUACAAUCAAAUAAGAGUGAAGUAUGGGGAUCUUACCAUUAAAGAAUAAAAAAUGCAAAAUUAUCAUCAUUCAUUCUUCUUUUUUUUCUUCUUAUAUCAAAUAGCAUAUUAGAAAGUCAACCUAUAAGAACUCCCAUUAUUUUUCCCAGAACUUCUAAACAUUCCAAACAAUGAAACCGAAAGAAAAUAAAAACUUAUAAUGUCUUAUUUCCUUUUUCAAUCAAAAAAACAAAAAAGAAAAAAGAAAAAAGAAAACCCAAAAAUAGUUGUCUACAAUCAAAUAAGAGUGGACUACAGUUCUACUCUUUUAAGAUUUAGGAAGGGGAUGAUGAAUUAAGGUUAUGACAUCGAAAAAAGUUAAAAAUAUGAAAAAUACAAAGAAGAAAGAGAGAUGGAAGAAAAACCUUACAAUAUCCCUAAAAGCCUUCUAGAAGUCUCAAAUAGAAGAAAAAAUAAGAAAUAGAAAAACUUUAUCAUCUCACUAAAGCCUCCUCAAAGUCUCAUCUAAAAAAUUAAAAUAACGGAUUUAAUUAUUGUGAAAGAUGUUCCAAAUAUGGAGGAAUUAGCUUCUUUGUUGGGAUGUGGGGUGGGAAAGUUCCUUUUUACCUUUCUUGGUCUUCCUUUUAAGCCACUUCCAAGUCUUCUACCAUGUAGGAUGUGCUUGAGAAGAGAUAAAACAAAAAACAUUCAAUGUGAAAGCAACAACACCUCUCAAAGGGCAGUAGGCUAAUUUUGAUAAAGGGUACUCUAUCAAGCUUGCCAAUUUAUUUUAUAGGCUUUUAGUUAUUCCAAGAAAAGUGCAAGUGAGAUUAGAAAAGAUCUAGAGGGAUCUCUGGGGGGUGGAUCCCUUGAAAAAAAGCCACAUUUGGUGAAUUGGCAACUAUUCGCUUGGAUAAGGAGAGAAAGGGUUUUACCCUACUGCUCUUAGAUAAAACUUUGUUCAGUAAAUGGUGUUGGAGAUUUGCUUCAAAAAGGGAGUCAUUAUGGAUGUGGGUUAUUAUUGAGAAGAUUGAGGAAGAAAUGGGAGGUUGGUGUUCAUGUGUGGUGAAGGAUGUCUUUGGGAUGGGUAUGUAGAAAAUUAUAAGGAGAGGAUGGGAACACUUUAAAAAUGGAAUCAGCUUAGUUGUGGGAGGUGGAAGGAGAGUGAAAUUUUGGAUGACUAGUAUUGAGGAAUGGUGGGGGCAAGUUGAUUUGGAGAGAAGUCCAGGAUGCUAAUUUUUCAUUUAGAGCUUUCUAUCCAUAUAUGGAAUGAGAAGGAUGAGAGGUUUUCCCUGUGUGGGCAGUUUGAAACUUGUGGGCCCCUAUGAAAGUGGACUUCUCUGCUUGAGAAGCUUGUGUUUGAACCUGUUAAAUGGGAGAAGUUAGACCUUGGUGAAUCAAUAUUAUCUUUGCAGAAAGUGAGGAAGAAUCAACUAACUACAUUCUCUUUCCUUGUGAUAAAACAAGGAUUCUCUAGAACUUCUACUUCUUUCUUUCUUUUUUUCUUUUUUUUUCUUUUUUUGUGUUAAAAAAGUUACUUCAUCUUCUGCAGGAGGGGCUUUAUUGAGCUGGAUGGAAGUCUUGUGGGGAAAAAGGACAGGAAGGUUUGGAGAAUUGCUCCAUUAUGCUUAUUGAGCUGGAUGUGGCUCCCUUCUCCUUGUUAGACUCUAUUAAUUUGUUGGGCUUUGGUUAAGGGAAGGGAGGUUUUCUCUAUUUCUAUUCUCUCUUUUUUUUGUCAUGUGACUCCUUUUGUAUAUUGCCUGUGUACUUUGGUUAUACUUUUUUGUUGGGCACUUUUAAGAAACAUUAUCUUUUCCUAUCAAAAAAAUACAUACAAGCUAUCCUCUCUACAACACUGUUUUCAUCCACAUUACCUAGUACUUACACAACUAUAGAUUUCAAGAUAUAUUAAUUUUAUAAGCAAUGACUCUUAAGCUUCUUUCAUUCAAAAUAUGACCAAUAUAAAUAACAUGUUCUGUCCACAAAACAUCUCAUUACUCUGAGGUAAAUCCAAAAAAGAAAAAGGUACAUAUAAAAGUGUACUAGAAAUGAGCAAAGCAAAAAUGCAACUUCUAGUUUUCUUAUAGAUGCAGAAAGUAAUAAGUAGCUCCCAUUCAAACCAAGGUUUCCAUGUAAUUGAUUCAAUACUAUGAUAUGAUUUCACACCAAAACUCACCAAGCAAACACAAAAGUAAUUAGAAGAUAAUCAUUUCCUAUGUACAUAUAUAAGAAUAGAAGAAGCCUUACAAUUUUAUCAUAUAGUUCUCCUCCAGUGACAAACUCAAGAAUAAUAUAUAUCGUUGUCUGGCUGGCCAAGACCUAGCAUGUGAAAAGAUAUAUAUACAUAUAAAUCAUGAGAGAGAGAGAGAGAGAGAGCAAAAAGUUUAAUUGAUACACUAAUGGAGCUGUUAGACAACCAAUUUUCCUAAAAGUUUAAGUUUAAGCCCACAAUAUAUAUCAUGCACUCUAACAAUUACUAGAUAGAAGGAAAUUUCAAAAUGUCAUAUUAUACAUUACAAAAAAUGUAAACAUACCUCAUGCAAUCUAACUAUGUUAGGGUGCCUGACAAUCUUCAUUAUGGAUAUCUCUUGUUUAAUCUGGAAACAACUAACAAAAAGGUUAGCCAAACAAUUUACAUAGAAAAGGAAGAAGAAUCAAUAAAGCUCAAAAGCAUUAUACUUUUGGAACAUAAUAUUAUAAUCAUAUCAAACACUUAUAGCAUGCAUAAGCAUGACUCAUAAAAUCUUUUCCAAUGGUAAACUACUGUGAAAGUUGAAAUUCCAAUAACUAGGAACCAAGUCAAAAAUUUUGUUAAUGGAGAAACAAGAGUUAAGUGCUUGAAAUUCCAAUAACCUUAAUUUUCUUCAAAUCCACCAACGACGCUAAGUAUGCUUAAUAAUCAAUGUUCUCUAUGUUUCUUCUUAAACCAUCAAUAUUGGCAUUCAAAAUGUUAGUGUACUAGCAUACCUAGAUUAAGUUCAGAAUUUUGUUUUAAAAGCACUUGAUCCAAUGUUACCACUUCUAAUGGUCUUAUUGACUUGAAGGGCAAGAUUGAAGAUUCAAGGAAGUAAAAUAAAUCAAAGUAACUAUGUAAUUUUGGAUUUGGUUAAGUAAUGGCAAAAUUAAUAAUUGAAUCUAAUGUAAAAAGAAGUUUAAAAUAUUGUUUUCUUAUUAGUUCUCACUUUCCAAUUUUAUUAGACUCCCUAUCAUAUUCUAACAAGGGUUUGCACUUAUAAAUAAAAUGAAAAAAUAAUUAAAAACAUAUAUAUUUUUCGUAACCCUUAUAGAAGGAAGGACACACACUAAAAGGAAAUACAUACACACACACACACACACACACAUAUAUAUAUGCAUGAAUUUUCUAUUACUUCACCAAUGUUCCUGAACUCUAAAAAAUCUUUCAAGUUGCAAACUUGAAAGUCCUUUUGGUGGAGAGUAAUUGGUGGGUUGUUGAGGUGUUUACUAAGGAGUACAAGUUGUUGCAUCAUGGAAAUGAAAGCACGGUGCAGGAGCGAGCCAGAGUAAAUCCCCUGGAAGAAGAUUGUGUCUUGGUUAGGAAAAUUCUGUGUACUUUUCAUAUUCAGUGGAUUUGCUUUGUAGUUGAUUGAGACCCAUGGUUUUACAUUUGUAGAUGGUUUCCAUGUAUAUCUUGUGUACUAAUCAAUUUUUCUUUUAUCAAAAACAAGAGAUGUAUUAAUUACAUAUAAAGAGUUCAUGAGAAGGAUGAAGAAUCCUCCCAACAAAUACACAAACCUAAUCAAAACAUAAAGAAACCUUCGCUAUACAAGGAAUUUAUACAAAAAGAUGGAUCACAAAAGAAUGUACAAGGAUUUCAUCUCCUCAAGCCCAAGUAGGCUCCUCUUAUUGUUGGCCCAACCCUAACGGGGUACAUAUAGAAUGCCAACUAAGCUGGAUGACAUUCAAAGGAAUGCCUUUAAAAUCAUCGGUACAAGAGUGCCAAGAAGCCAAGAAAUGAAAUUCCACAACAACUCUGACAUCCUCCAUUUAUCCUCAAAGAUCCUAGCAUUUCUCUCUCACCACAUAAUCCAAAUCAGGGUGAGACAAGCAAUCUUCCAAACGAUCUUGACUCUAGUGGAGUUUCCAAAACUCACAUAAGAAAUAAUCAUCAUGUCACAUAAACUCUUAGGUUGAACCCACACCAUCCCAACCUAUAUGAAUAGCCUGUGCCAUAACCCCAAUGUAAUCAAACAAUGUAAAAGUGAUGGUCAAUUGUCUUUCCACUCCCCCAUAUAUAAGAUGCACCAAUUAAGACCAAGGGCUUUGAAAUAUUUUCUCAAUUGUAGCAUAUCAUUAGUUCUUGUAUCCUACUCAUUGUGAUUUGUUCUUCUAUACUAUAUAUAUUGAACAAAUUAGGUCUAAUAAUAAUUCAUAAAGUUAAAGUUGGGAUUAAUCAAAUUUUCAUUUUCCUCAAUUCCACUAAAAUUGAAUUAAUAAAUUGGAAAAUUAAGAAAUCAGAAAAUUGGAUUUUGACCAUAUAAAUUGAACUACCUAUUCACCUCCCUCUAAGUAAUUUAUGUGGAUUAAGAACACUUUCACAAAAGUUCAAAUUUUCUUCAAGAAAGCUGCCUGAUUUCUCAUGGUUAAACACUAAACUCAGUAGGCCUUGCCCAUAUUUGACUAUGUGACUAUCAGUUCUUACUUCUAGACACACUAAUUAGGUAGUUAUUGACCAUGUUAUGUCAUAUGGAAACUUGGGUGUGACACCGCACCAAAUGGAACCAUCCACACACACACACACACACACAAAAUGAGAAAACAAAACAAAAUAAAAACAACAAACAAGAGGCCAAAGGAAAAAAAAAAAACGCUUGAUGGUAGACAAUCUAGCAUGGACCCCUAUCAAUUUAUUAAUAUAAUAAAAAUAUGAUGUAGAUAUCAACUCAUGUAAAUUCUCUCUCUUUUUUUUUGGCUCAUGACAUUCUUUUUUUCUCUUUGUCUAUUGUUAUGUUCUGACAUUCAAUUUUUCCGUUUACAACCAAAUUCAUUGUCAUUGAAGAUUGAUUUGUCAACUAGUUUAGCAAAACACUUGAAAUUCUAACCACACCCCCCCACCCCAAUUUUUAAAGUAAGUUUAUAAUUUUCCUAAAAGGAUAUAGUAUGGUUUACGACUGAACUUUUCUGCAAGUUUGAACAGGAAGAAAAUUUCAUAUUCUUCUGUAGUUUUCUACUUGAGCAUGCAUCCCCACGUUACUUGGCUGUCAAGAAAUUAUUAUCAGUUCAUAAAAAAUCCUCAUGCCACCACCAUGUAGCUUGUUGAUGCAAAUACUAAUCACAGAAUCUGUAUUACAUAUUUUCUAGUUCACUUUAGGAGCAUUGAUCAUUCCAUGCUACUUUAUUAUUAAAGCCAUUAAAAUAUUUCCCCAGCAAUGUAAAAUAGUAAAGAAGAAGAGGGGAACCAAAAAGAUGGGAACCAAACUAACAUAGAUCAAUGAACUGAAAUUUUGAAACCUUAGAAACAAGAAAUGCUAGACAAUUUAUUGCAACCACAGAAAGGCUUGAAAUGAUGAUGGUGAUUGCAACAAUGAGGUCCUUACAAUUAUUCAAUUGCACAGGUGAGACACAUCUUAUUCAUGCACAUUUCUGCCCUGACCUUCAUUCUAAAACCAUCUUACAGAGGAUUAAGCCACUUUCCCCACUCUAUAAGCUUAUAUGAAGUAAGAGAUAAUGUUAACAGCUGCAUCUGUAGUAUGCACCCAUCUUACAGCAACAUGCUGCACCAUUACUCAAUAUUUCGUGUCCUUAGUCGAGUUAUCAUUCCUCUGUUUAGCACAUUCUUUUCCCCUAUUAUAGUGUGCAUUUUGAGAAACGAAGACCCAAUUGACUUCAUUGAGGUAUCCACACUCAGUAUAAAAAAAUAAAAUAUCUACUGAACAAUUUCAACAUAUUUCAAUUUCCGCUAAUCAAAAUGCAAUUCUUCAUUCAACAGCCAAUACAAAUAAGCACUAGGGACUGAAAAUUUCACUCCAAUGUCCCAAACCAGUUAUAAGGUUGAUUUCAAUUUGCUGACUUUAGGAAGAGAGAAAGCGCUCAUAAUUAAUAAUGAGUAAGGUGUUGUUUGGUUAGAAUUUCAGAAAUACUUCAAUCAUAUUUUUAGGAGCUAAAAAUCAAUGCAAUUUCCACUUAUAAACCCAAUCAAAUAAGCUGGGAAAUGGAAAAUGCAGCAUACAACUACUGUUGAAAGUUGAAAAAUAACAAGAGAAUGUGAUUGACGAUCAAAAGAUAAGUGAAAGGCUAAAGAGAUGCACACAUGCAUACAAUAUAUACAAAAUAACUCCAAAUUCAUAAAGGAAGAGAAAUUUGAUACCUGAUCGACCAUCCUAUGCUUAAGAAUGGUGGACUUUGCCAUAACCUUCAUAGCUACGCUCUCCCCAGUCUCGGUGUUGUGCGCAAAUUUAACCUUGGCGAAAGUUCCUUCGCCAAUUGUUCGGCCGACCUCAUACUUUCCGACCUUUCUCGUGACCUUUUUCAUCGUGACUCACGCUCAUUUCCCACUAAAAACCCAGUGUUUGCUCCAGUUAUCGGUCAAAAUAGAGAUCUGCCAAUCAACAAAUAUGCAUAUUACCAGGGACUGACUAUGAAUUAGAAGGAAAUCGGAAAACGAAUUGAUUGUAAACAACAAAAAACACAUGUGUUGUGUUGUUGAGAAAACGGAGGAGAGGAAAAUGCAAAAGAAAAAUUAACCUUGGCUUUUUCCCUUCUUUGCCUUAGAGAAAAAAACAAUACAAUGCACAGUUUGUUUGCGAAUAGGAAGGAAGACAAAGAAGGAAACAAAUGAUUUUUCUAUUCACUUUUCUCAUGUUUUCUUGGGAAUCAAAUUGAGAAUAACUCGGGAGACAAAAAGGUAGAGAAUCAGAGAAAGGAGGCGAAUGCCAAGACCUAAGAGAUAAUUGGCACAAUUUUGACGGAAGCACGGUGACCUGGAUUCCGUCAGCUCCGGCGCGAUGCGUGGUGUCCGUAAAACAGAGGAAGCGUCCGUCCGCGGUCACAGCUAAAGCUGAGUUGUCAACUUGUCAAAUACCAACAUCUGAUCCUCAUGCGAAAAAACUCAAACUUUUGAUUAAUUACAGCGAAAAUGCACAUAUACGUGUAAAUUGAUUUCAAAUAAAUAAGUCCACGUCAAAUCUUCUAAAAUUAAAAUUUAUAAAUAGAAUACAUUUAUAAAAAUGUUAAUUAAACAAAUUUAAAACUAAUUAUGAUCGUAUGUAUUUACACCAAACUUUAAAUAAAUUAAAUUAACAAAAAAUAUAAUUUGAAUUCAAUUAGGCAUUGUUUGGUAACGGGUUUUCAAUAACAAUUUUUUAUUUUUUAGUUAAAUAAAUAUAUAAAAAAAAUAAUUACAAACUAUUUUCUAUUUUUUUUCUUGAAGACAAAAAAAAAACAUAUUUUCUAAGGACUGUUUUAAAAAUAUAUAUAUAUAUAUAUAUAAAAUAGAAUGAUUAAAAAUAAAAGAAUUAGAUAUAAAAAUUAUUUUAGGUUUUUAAAUAUAUCUUUACUUUAUAAAAUCAAAUAAUAAUUUUAAAAAAUUAUUCUCAAAAAUUAUUUUUUUUUUAAAUUAUUACUAAAACGACCUUAUUCUUUCAAAAUUUUCAUUUUCUUAUUAAAAAAAAUAUAUCAAAUGCCUAAAAAUGAUAUCACUUGCAAACAUGGUUUUAUUUUUUCUUUUAAAAAAAUAAAAUAUAUAUAUAUAUAUAUAAUAUAAUAGCUUUUAUAUAAAAAAAAAAAUAACAAUUGAUCUUAUUAUUAAAAACUCAUUUAAAAAUUUAUAAAAGACUUAAACUAUUAAAAAAUCAAAAAUUAAUUUUAAAUACAUAAUAAAUAUACUUUGUUAGAGGAAAUAAAAUGUGGGGAAGGAGGGAGGGAUUGGGUGACCAAAAAUAAGAUCAUCACAUUUAGAAGCUGACUAACGAGUAACGAGGGGCGAAUAAUUUAGUGGCUGCUUUGGGUUUAAGCAUGUUUAGGAACUCUUCUUUUUUCUUUAAUUAAAUUCCGAAUGUAGAAGUUUGGAAAAUGACGGGUUUGGCGUCUUAUAUUAAAGUAUUUGGCUAAGUCCACGUUAUGUGCUGGCGUAGAUAAUUGCCCCUUUCCAAGUCUCAUCUUAUCUUAUUAAAGAUUUAUGAGUUGACCUGAAUGAACAUUUAGAAAAAAAAACAAAGACAGAAUUGUGAAAUACUUGAACCUAAAUAAUUAUUUUCUUUAAUUACGUUAAGAGUAUGUUUUAAUUAUAUUAAGAGUAUGUUUGGUAAUGAUUUUAUGAAAUAUUUUUAAUUUUUUUUAAUACUUGAAAAUUUUAAUCUUUCAAAUAUUAAAAAUAGUAAAAUUAUUUUCUAAAAUUACUAUCAUACACACUUUAAGAACCUGUUUUACAAUCAUUUUAGGAAGCGCUUUUAACAUUUUUAACAUUUGAAAAAUUUUAUCGUGCAAAUAUUAAAACAAUUAAAAACGUUUUCUAGAAUUACUCAAACACACUCUUAGAGUGUGUUUUGGUACUAAUUUUAAAAAAUAUAAAAAUAUUUUUUAACACUUAAACGACAUAAUUUUUCAAAUGUUAAAAAAGUGACAAAUACUUUUUAGAAUUACGAAACUCUAAAACUUAUUUGAAAGUGGUUUUGAUAAAUAUAUUUUUAUAAAAAAAAAAUAUUUUAAUAUGUAUUAUAUGACUUAAUAUUUGAAUAUAAACUACAAAAUAAUCAUGCUAUCUUUUUUUAAAUCACUCCCACAUGGGUUAAAGCGUUAACUCAAGAAUCACUUUAACUACUAAUUCUUUCAAAAUUAUGCCCUUUAUACUCAAAUUAAUAUAAAAAAAUAAAAAUAAAAGGCUAUGAAAUUUUGUUGGAUUGGUUUUACUUUUAAAAUGAAGAGAAAAUAUUUGGGCUUGUUUUGGUAACUAUUUUUUAAAAUAAUUCUAAAAAGUAGUUUUUGAAAAUUGUUUUCUGAUUUUUAUAAAAUAAAAGUUUGUUUGGAAACCUAAAAUAUUUUUAAUAUAUUUUUAAUAAUUUUAAUUAUGUUUUAAAAAUAAUUUUUAUAUGUAGUAUUUUAUUUUUAAUCAUUUUACAUGUUUGUAUAAUUAUUUUUAAAAAUAACUCUCAAAAAACAAGUGAAGACAAUAUAAAAUAAUUAAAAGAUGUUCUCAAAAAAUAACUGUUAGAAAUUAGAGGCUAAUCCAACCUAUGGNNNNNNNNNNNNNNNNNNNNNNNNNNNNNNNNNNNNNNNNNNNNNNNNNNNNNNNNNNNNNNNNNNNNNNNNNNNNNNNNNNNNNNNNNNNNNNGGGGGGGGGGGGGGGGGGGGGGGGGGCGCGGGGGUGAAUGGGGUGAUAGUCUCUUUUCGCAAAUUUAAACAAGUGAAUGCAAAAGACAAUUAUAUGUAAGUAUAUAAUAACCAAUAUAUAGACAAUUGCAUAUAAAUUAAAGAGUAAGGAAGAGAAAAUGCAAAUACAAGAGUUUAUAGUGGUUCGGCGCAACCCGGCCUACAUCCACUUCCUUUAGCUUCAAUCUCGAGCUUGAGGUUCCACUAAUCCAAGGCUUCCAAACCAAGAGUUCAAGCAAUACAAUUGGAUUAUGGUUCUGAUUCACCCUCUUGGACUUUUGGCUUCAAGCACCCUUUACACUUCUAAAAAAAUAUCUCAUUCUUGAACAACCCCUCAAGUGAUACCCCAUACUUGAGAAACUUCCUUUCAAAGAUUUACAAAUGGAUGAUCUCUAAAAAAUCCCAACACAAGAACUUUAAGCUCAAAUGAUACAAGAAAAAUUAGGAUUGAAUGGUGCACUAAAGAUAUGCAAGUUUUGAAAUAAUGGUGCAAUAAAAAAUACUCUUCCAAGGCUCAAAUAUAAUCAAGAAAGAUUUGAGAAGGUCAAGCUAUUGAAACAAUAAAGAUUGGAGCAUUUUUAUAGAAGAAAAAGUCAAACUAGCCGUUGAGGGUUCGACCGGUCGAGCUAAGGGUCGACCAGUUGACUAGCCGUUAGCAUUUAAUGCUUGACAAGUGACCGUUGGGCCUCAAUCAGACCCCAACUGGACCUUAAUCGGACCUCAACCGAUUAAGGUUCAACCUUGACCGGAAAGAGAAGGCCACUGGGAGAGAGAGAAACUUUUUUGCCUCCCUCAACAAGUCAUCAACUGGACGAGCACAACCGGUCGACCAAUUGAACCGGUUGAGCCAUUUUUUGGUUCAACACCCAACCUUUUUCAACUUAAAACCUUUUAACACAAGUUUGAAAAUCAUUUAAUACAAGGUUUUAGUUGAAAACAUAGAAUCAUCCAAUUCUUAAGAUAUUUAAAACAAUAUUACUCUUGGAUGAUUUUGGUGCAUAAAUAAAGAAUGAAAUGCAUGAAAGUCCUAGUGCACCAACAACCUUACAAAGAGAUCUUAUGAAGAUUUGGUCUUAAAAAACUCUUCUCUUUGAGGUGAUCUUCUUUAUUGUUUCUCCUUGGCUUGAUUUGUCUUUGUGAUUGCCACUUUGGAAAUCGUCUUGCCUAAUCACACUUGAAAUAUGAUCAUUAGUUCUAAACCUUAUUUUGUUAUCACCAAAAUCAAGAUUAACCAAACUUUGAUUUCACAAUACCAUAUUUUCCAUUUUUUUUUGUUCUUAAGAAUAUAAAAUAGUUUUUUAUUAUCAAACAUGUUUUCGAUGUUUUUUGUUAUGAAGAAUAGAAAACUAUUUUAAAAAACAAUUCUCAAACAAACCCUUUAUCUUUGUUUUCCUUUUAAUAAUCAAAUUAAGUACAUAAGACCACAUGAAUAAUUUGCUUUGAAUCUAGACUAAUUUUCUUAGUAAAAUAAGCUCAAAUGAAAUGCCUGCGGGAUAUCAUCAAAUUAACAUGUCAUUUUCAAUCCUAAUUGUGAAGUAGGUGGGUACCAUUCAUUUUCAAACUUUGCAUUCAUGGGUAAAAAGACUUAUGAUUAAUGGUGUGGAAAAUUGAAUGCGUGUGAUGUGAAGAAUCAUAUCCAUUCAAUAAUAUUUUAUUAAUAAAGUUUAUUAAUCAUAUUCAUUUUCUUAUUGAUCUCUAUCAUUUUACAACAAAAUUGACUCAUCAUGUACCAUUAUAUUUUAUUAAUAAAGUUUAGUCAAAUAUCAUCGAUGUAUUAAUUUAGAUUGACAAUUCUAUCACAUUUUUACCGAUCAAGAUUCGAUAUCAUUCCUUUGGUCUUAUACGUGCUUAAAGUCAUUAAAGCUUAUGAAAAUUCUCAAGAAACAAAGUCCAGAGUAGUUUUUGAAAAGGUACAUUCAAACGUCUAUUAGGAAACAUUUGAACCAUUAGGAAAUGUUUGAACAUCGAUUCUUUUUGUAGUGUAAUUUCAUUCCAACUUCAUGUUUUUUUUAGGUAAUGGCAGAAAAAGGUUUAACUGCGUUCAAAAAAUUAACCUAAGGUUUUGUCUAGUAUAAAAGGAUUAUUCUUCUGAAAUUUGAAACCUUUGAAAAAAUAGAUAUUCAUUAACUUGUGCAUCAAUCUCUCAAAACUUUCAAGAUCUUUUCUUGCAAGUUUUCAUCAGAUACAGUAAAAGUAUACGACUCACAUCGUAACUUCGAUCAAGACUUUGAGUAAUACAUGAAGAAGCAUGAAGAAUAUCAUGUCAAAGAUAUGGAAAAUGAGUGUAAGUGUCAUUGAUAAGACCUUAAGAAAUAUGAGUACUUGAUCAAGUACAACUGUGUACAAUUUUCUCAUAUUUAGUGGAUUAUUUAAUGAUUGAAAUAUCAUUUAUGAUUUUUUUACACCUAAGGGUUUCGGAUGGUUUUUCCUGCAUUUAAAUUUGCAAUUGAAUAUUCUUUUAUAUGAAAUUUAUCAACUUUUAAUCAUAAUUGAUAUAAUUAUUAAAGAAAAUUAAAAAGUCAGGGUUAAUUGUUUCAACUAUGUAUUUACCCAAUUUUGGUGGUUUUAUUUUAUAGUAAGACAAAAUUCUUUCAAAUAUAUAUACAUAAAACAUUAAAUUUAGAAAUCAUUGGUGUGAAUUUAUAUAAGCUUGCAAAGCUCCCUGCUCAUUUCCCCUUAAAAGAAAAAAAAUUAAAAAAAAAAAAGGAAGGUUGCUUCAAUUUUGUUAAAUUUUAUUGGGUUAUUAUUUGUAUAUUAAAAUUUGCAUUUUUUUCUAUUAAUAAAUUUGCAUUAUCUUUGUUAUAUUUUAAUGGAUUCUUGUUUGUAUAUUUUUAAUACAAGUUAUUUAAAAACUAAUGUGAAAUGUUGGAAUAUCCAAAAUCUGAUAGGUGAAUUAGAGUUAAAGUCACAAGUAGCCAAACAAAAUUCAUCUAACUAAUGUCAGUUAAAUUAGUUAUGCCAGUUGUCAAUAUUUAACAGCUUUAUUGAUCUAUUUCAAGUGUAUAAAUAGACCUUACCUUUACAAUUUUAUCUCAUUUGAAUGUAAGGAGAAUUUCUUAUUCAAUACACGUUUAAGCGCCCCUCUGUUUUCUCCUCUAUUUUCCUUUGCAAUUCUGCAUAUUUUCACAUGAAAUAAGAUUUUUUAUAUGAAUUUUUUAAAAUCAUUUUAAAUUAUAAAAUAUCAUAUUAACAUAUCUAUUUUCAAAUAAAAAGAUAUUAUUUUUUUAAUAUUUUAUAUAUUAUAUCACAUAUUAGUUAAGUGUAAAAAUUCUUGAUUCUAUCUAUAUAGUCAAUUUCUCUUAACUAUAAAGACAUAUUCUAAAGUCAUAAUAUUAACUCAAACUUUACACUCUAUAUUAAUAUAAAAUCAACCAAAAAAAUAUUUAUAUAAUCAAUGGUAAGUUUAAUUAUCGUCCUUACAAAACAACAUAAAGCAUGUUUUGAUUGUUUUAUUACUUAUGGAACUUAUUUUCUUGUUACUAAUCUAAAUCAAACUCUAAUCUAAUUAUUAAUUAAUUACAAAUAUAAAAUAAAAGGCCAGUAAACCUUGAAAAGUAAACCUUGAAAGUAAUUAUGAUAUCUCACAUCUCUUUUUAAAUAUCUAGAAACAUUUUAUCUACAUGAGAAAGUAGAGUAAGUCAUCACAAAUGAUAAAGUCAAUUUCCUACUUGAUGUGAAACUUUUUCCAUCUAGCCUAGUAAGGGAUGUUUUUGUAUCUAGUCUUGCAAGCUUAUGGGACAUGAUGAUGAUGUCAUGGUUGCAUGAGGCAUAUAUGAUAUCCUACACCAACCAGAGAUAAAAGCUUCUGAUAAUACAUAUGUAGUAUACUUCUUUUAACCAUAUAAAUGCAUUUUAAAAUCAUGAAAGUUUAUUAAACUUAAAGUAAAAAAAAUAUCUAUAUGAGAGGGGGAGAACCAUCACAAAUAGUGUUAAAGUCGAUGUUUAACCUUAAUGUGAGACUAUGUUUGUUUGUUUCCACAAUGAGUGUUUGUCUUUCUCGCCCUACAAUAUGAUACAGUAAAGACAUCAUGUUUGCAUCGAGAAAAUGAUUUCAAUAUUCCUAGAGUUUCUAAUACAAUAUAUAUAGUGGACAUUUAAUUGCAUAGAUGAAUUUUUAAGCCAUGAGAACUCAUUGGGUCAAGAGUACACAAUAUUUAUAAGGGAUGAAGCAAAAUGUUACAAAUAGUAUUAAAGUCGAUCUCCACUCUAAUGUAGACUCUAUUUGUGUAGUUUUACAAGCAUUAUUUAUUUAUCUGAUCCCAUAGUAACAUGGGACAUAACAAAGACAUCAUGACUACAUAGAGGAUAAUUAUGAUAUCUCAUAUCGAUGAAGGAUAAAAAUGUUUAACAUUAAAUAUAAGUGAACUAUUUUUAAUUAUGUAAAUAUAUUUCAAAGCUACGAGAACUCAUUAAGCUCAUAAUAGACAAUAUUUUUAUGAGAAUGAACGGAUAAUUAUAGAUAAUACCAAAGUUAAUCUCAAACUGUUAUAAAUGGUAUUAAAGUCAAUCAUCGAAUUCAAUACGUGAUUCUAUUUGUUUUACUUAUAAAAAAUAUUUAUCUAUUUGAUUCUACAAUUUUAUGAAAAUUGAGAAUCAUCUCUCUACAAAUUUUAAAUUAUAAAAGAUACAUAAAAAAAACUGAAAUUUUAUUGGGUUGACUUGACGUUUGAAAGUAAAAAAGAAAUGUUUAUUUUUCCCCCCUCCCUCGUUAAUCGAAUCACGCACAUAAGACUAAAUUAAUAAUUUGCUUUGAAAGUGAGACUAGUUUCAUAUUAAAAUAAGCAGGUGGAUCCCCGCCAGAUGUUAUCAUAUUCAUAUGUCAUUUUCAAUCCUAGAAGGGCAAUGUUAAUUAUUUAAUUAAAAGAAAGCAACUAUGAAUUGACACAAUUGAAAGUGGAUGGGCAUCUUCAUUUUCAAAAUUAUAUUCAAGGAUCAAAAGAUUUAUUAUUAAUGGUACGGUAUGCCUGCUGCGAAGAAUCAUAUCCAUUCAUAGUGUCAAUCAUCUUACAACAAAAUUGAAUGAUUAUUCACCAUUACAUCUUAAUAAUAUACAUUGAUAAAGCAUUGGAUUCAAUAAUCCUUGUAAAAAUUUAUUUAGGGCUGCAAAGCUCCCUCAUCAUAGGCCCAUAUGUCACGCACACAAAAUCCAACACCAAAUUUUUGCGUCCCUCUAUGCCAGCCUUUUAAUAAUGUGUGUGUGACACCAUUUAUUAUAUAUAUAUAUAUAUAUAUAUUAAAAAAAUUACAUUAUUUUUUUAUUAAAUUUGAAUUAGUUAUUGUUUAUACAUUAGAAAAUUGCAUUAACUCCACACAUUUUAAUUAAUUAUUGUCUAUAUAAUUUUUUAAUUUAAGUUACUUAAAACUUAAUGCAAGAGUUUUCAUAUAACCUUUUGAAAGAAUUUUAAAUUAUAUAAAGAAAAUCAUCAUAUAACACAUUGAUUUUCAAAUGAAAAACACUAUUUGUUUAAAUGUUUUAUAUUUGUGUCCCUUAUGGCUUACUGUUAGAAGUUCUUGAAAGUAUAUGUAUGGUGUGAAGUGUAACUAAUCCAACUUAGGUAUACAUUAAAUAGAGAGGGAGAAAGGGGAGUGGGGAAAGAGAAAGACAAGUGUUGUUAAAACUUAAGCCUUUUUUAUAAAUGUUUUCAGAAACAAUUUUGAAAAAUAGUAUUUAACAAUAGUUUUUUAAAGUUAUUUUAUAAUAUUUUUAUAAAACAAAAGUUUAUUUAAGAACUUAAAAUAUUUUUAACAUGUUUUUUGUUUUUAAAUAUGUUUUAAAAAUGAUUUUUAUAUUUAAUGUUUCAUUUUUAAUUAUUCUAUAUAUUUAUAUAAAUAUUUUUUAAAAUAGUCAUAAAAAAACAACUAAAAAAUAUUCUCUAAAAAUAUAUAUAUAUAUAUAUAUAUAUAUAUAUAUUGUUUUAAAAACAGAAACUAUAAAACAGUUUUUUUUAUUACCAAACAUAUUUUCUUGUUUUUGUUUUGGAAAAAAUAAACUUGAGGAGGUGGUGAAUUUAGAUGGGUUAUAUCAAACCAUAUUAAAAUUAUUAUUUCCAUUCUAUAAUAUUUGCUCUUUAUUGUUUUCUUAUUAUUGUUAUUAAUUAUUAUAUUGUGUCUUUUAUCUUAUAAAAAGGUAAAUUUAAAAAAAUGAACAUCACUUAAUUGAUCACCAUCAAUUUGCUAUAGUGGACUUCUCAAGGAUGAGGAAGGGUGACAACUAAAGGUAUCAUGAUGUUAAGUUUGAUUUUAUAAGAUUAAAAAAAAAUUACAUGCUUAUGUGUUAUUAUAUUUUUAUAAAAUUAUGAAUUUUGCUUAUGUGGCAUUUUGAUUUUAUAAAAUAAAAAAAAAUAAAAAAGUUUUAAUGUGAACAUCUAAAAAUUCUAGCAUUUUAUAUAAAAAUUAAUAGUACUAUUUUCUUAUUUAAAAUAUAGAAAAUAAGAAAUGCAUUCAAACAUAUACUAGUAAUUAUAUUAAACAUUGAAGUAAUUAUGUCCAAUUUUAUUAGUUUGACAAUUUAAAAUUUGGUAAUCAUAGCUACAUUAAUAAGAAUCAUACACCCAUUCCACUACAACCUUUUGGAAGACAUCCUAGUUUCACAAAGGAGGGAUUGAUGUAACCCAAAAAUAUCAUAAUAACUAAAAAUUAUUUAUAAAAGACAAAUUUCAUGUAAUUAAAUUUCCAAAUUGAUGAUAAAUGUAUUUCAUAUAGGGAUGGCAAUGGAACGGGUUUUUUUGAAUAUCAGUUCUGUCAUGUCUCUAACGAGACGAGUUUGAAAUUUAAAUAAAUGAGUUUAGGACGAAUUUGAGAUUUUUUUUAUACCUGAAACAGGUUUGAGGCGGGUUUGGGUAUUACUUUGUCCCGCUCUGCCCCACCUCGAUUAUAUAUAAAAUUAAUUUUAAAAAUUAAAUUAAAUUUUUUUCUAUUUUUAAUAUAUAGAUAAUAAUAAAAUAAUUUGCAAUAAAAUAACUUAUAAACAAUUAUAAUAAUUUCAUUAUUCAUAAAAUAUAUUUAUUUUAAUGUAAUUAAAAAAAUUAAAUAACUUUAAAAAAAUACAAUUUUUGAAAGAAAAAAAAAAAGUUAAAUGGGUAUUUCAUACCCACCCGGCUUCACCUUCUCCCCUUUAAUUGUUUUAAAGGGAUGAGAAUGAAAAUUAUUUUAAAUAAAUGGGAUGGAGCUGGGAUGGGGGCGACUUGUCUUGAAGCUGCCUCAUUGGCAUCCCUAAUCCCUAUGUAGCAUUUCAAAGACCCCACAAACAUAAUCAAAACCAAAAUAUAUCAUUAAAAUUUGUAAUCAUAAAAAUAACAUUUGUCACCAUAAAAAUAACAUGUUCCUAACAUGAUGAUUGACAUAAUUAUAUACUACAUGAAUCAAAGAUGAUACAUGAAUAACAUGUUCCUAAAAUAAGUUAGGAACAUGAUAAUUGACAUAAUUAGAUAUUAUAGAUAUACGUAAUAAAUAUUAAGUUUUACUAAAUACCUUCCACCGUAUCAAUAAAAUUUGAUUUUAAUCGUCCUUUCUCAGUUUGCACCCAAGGCCCAAUCCUUUUUGCAAUUUGAAGCCCACAUGAGUCUGCACAAUUAGAUCAGGGAGUUGAAAGGGCUUGGGUUGGAAUUACUCCCAAGCCCUUUAAAGCAAAAUGAAAAGUUGUACAAAAUGGAAUUUGCAAAUUACAUUUUUCAAAAAGGUGGGUAAUGUGGAAUUAUUUAAAUUGCCAAUAAAAUUAUACUAAUGGAAAUGAAAACAUCACUUGUUGUUGAUCAAUCAAAUAUCCAACCGUACCUUAACUCAACUAAUAAAUGGGACCAUUCCUUCAAUGCUCUAAAUAGCCAUAAUAGCACUUAGCUUCAUCUUCAUCAGUAAUCAUAUUAGGAAUAUUUGUGUUCCAAAGAAUAUUAAAAUUGUCAAGGGGGAUAAUGUUGGUAUUAGUCAGAGAAUUAUCUAGAUAUUUUUAGACUACUUAUCUGAAUGGAUAGGAAUUUGGGGUAUUACGACCCCUUAGGAAGUUUAGCCAUUUAGUCAAUGUGUUGGUUAUAUAGAGUCUACUUAUUCUAUAGCCUAUAAAUAACAACUCUGCAAAUCAUUUCUGCACCUUCAAUACAAUUGUAUGUGUCCCAUCUUGAUCGAGAGAGGUCAGGAAAAUGUCUGGUUUGAGACACUCAUGGGAGGACAACAUGAGUUUAUAAAAAUUAAAUUUUAAGUAAUUAUUUAAAAAUUAUUAGUAAUUUAUAUAUUUUUUAGUUAGUAUAUUUAACUAUAUUAUCUUUGACCAAGUAUUACAUUUGAUCACAAGUGCAUGAAAUUUGAAUUAUUUUCAGAAGAUUCAUAUUUUAUAAUUAUUUAUAUAUGAAUAUGUGGAAAUACAUUUUUUCCUAAUUAGAGUGUAUAAAAAGUUAAUUUUUAAUUUUUAUCCAAUUUAUUAACCCUAUUUUUUUUAAAUCACAAUUUUUAAUUAAUUUUAAUUUUUUUUUCCUUUAGGUUAUGCAAUGUAGGACUUUGGGUUUUCAAAAUAGGGAUCCGUAGCUUUGAAAAUAACAAUAAUAAUGGAAGUUAAGGGGAAGUACUUUUCUUAAAAAGGUAAGUAUUUCAAGAAGCUUUGAAAAUUAAUUUUAAAUAUUUAGUGAAUUUAAUGUGAUUUUUACAUUAAUAUUUAAUUUUAAAAAUUAUUUUUUAUAUCAUAUAUCAUAAAAAAUUUUAUUAAAACCUUUUUUUUGUGUUUAUAAACAUGUGAUCAUGAUCUAAUUUUUUAUAUAAGCAUUAAUGCUAAAAGUGUUAUUAAUAAAAAUAUACAAAAAUAUUAGGAUUACGUUUUGUUGCUAAACUAGGUUAAGAUCAGAUGGAGUGGGUUCAUAUCUUAUAAUGGGUUCAUAUCUUAUAAACUAGGGAACUUCGGAAUGACAACUAUCUUGAUUCGUAACUAGUUAUGAUUUCAACACUCUUUAUUCUACUAUUCCAAGCUAUGAAGAACAAUGCUGAGAGAUAAAUAAAUCCACUUUUUUAUUUUAUUUUAUUUUAUUAUUAUUAUUAUUAAUUUCAUCUAACUCACUUUAUGGAUCUUAAUAUUUCAUAUCUAAGGAUAUAUAAUUUUUUUUGAUAUUACAUUUAAUGACAUAUUAUAUCAUGCCUAUAUUUAAAAUUUAACAUACCAUACUUCAAUUUUUGAUAUGUUUUUUAACAAAAGUUUGAAAUAUCUCUCAAAUUUAGUAUUAUACAAUUUAUUAUUUAAUAAAUAUUUUUUAUUUCUUUGUUAAUAAUAUUAAUGAUUAAAAAAUUUAAAAUUUAUAAAUAAUAUAUGAAAAUAUUCGGUAUAUAUUAAAUAAUACAUAUGUUAAUAUUAUUUUAUGUUGCAUUUUGUACAUAAUUUUUUAACUCUUUUAUUUUUUUAACAACAAUUUUAAUUUUUAAUUAAAUUUUACCUUUUACAAAAUGUGUAAUGUAAAAAAUUGAAGAAAUUGAACACUAAGAGUAAACUCACGAUCCAUGAGAUAUAUUCACAUUUCUAAUUAGAAUUAUCAUAAAAUUUCGAUUGAACUUUAAAUAUAAUAAGUGACAAAAUAACUUAUUAUAUGUCAUUAUGAAUCCAAUGUAAUCUUAUCAUCAAUAAUCCAACAUAAUUAUAUCAUGGACUCACUUAGAAUAUGAUAUAUUAUUUGAAAAUGUUAAGGGACUGUAGCAAGUUUUAUUGAAUAAAAGAUUUAGACUAUUAAAUAUAUACGAUAAGAUUUAGAUUGUUAAAUAAGAACAUAAAUAAAUAGAAUUAAAAUAUAAAAAUAUGAAUAAAUGAAAUUAAAAUACAAAUAAUAAGAUAUGGAAAAAGUACACCUUGUAUUAUAGCAUAUCAUGUAUUAUUUUAUUUUUUUAGACUUCCUUUUUU